UAUAUAUAUAUAUAUAGAGAGAGAGAGAGAGAGAGAGAGAGAGAGAGAGAGAGAGAGAGAGAGAGAAUUCAGCUGGUAUACUAUCAGUAGCACGAAAGCCUCCGUGCUACCAAGUUAUUUUCGACAUUGCGGUUUCCAAAUCAACGAUCAACUCCGUUAGACUUGAUCUACACUAUUGAAAGUAUUUAAAAACUAAAUCUUAUAAUUUUUCGAUAUCAUUUACAUAUCAAACGAGUAGUCUAAAAAUGAACAGCUGAAAAUAAAAAUAUCAUAAAAAAUGAUGAUAAAAGACUUGAAUUUAAGAUUAGAAGUACUGAUCUUAUUUUAAAAGUGAAAAAAAAUAUCUAUAAAAAUUUUAUCAGAUUUGAAUUGUUUUAUACCGUUAAAUUGACAAACGCAUCACAUCGAUCAUUAAAAUUGUCAAUUUUGAGACAUUUUGAUCACUAGCCAAAUGAUAUUGAAAAAUUAUGAAAUUUAGUUUCCAAAUGCUUUUAAUAGUGUAGAUCAAGUCUAACAGAGCCGAUCGUUGAUUUGGAAGCCGCAUCAUUGAAAACUACUUGCUAACACGGAGGCCUCCGUGUUAUCGAUAGUAUACUAGCCUAGCGCUCUCUCGCUCUCUCUCUCUCUCUCUCUCUCUCUCUCUCUCUCUCUCUAUAUAUAUAUAUAUAUAUAUAUAUAUAUGUGUGUGUGUGUGUGUGUGUUCUUCUUAGUGAUAUAAAUAUUUGAUGCCCCACUUUAUUUAUGCUUGUAGAGGAUAGAAAGAUUCUUUAUUGUAGGAAGGAGGUAAUCUGUGAUGCUACUUAGCGGAGGCCAAAAUAUUUUCCCUGAUAGGUCUAAAAUAUUAGUAGUAUUGCAACAAGUCUUCUAUAGUUCCUGGAGUGCUAGACUUGCAUGUUGUUGAUGGGUCGGCAGACAUAAUGAUACGACCGACUAUUCAUUAGUUUGUGUAUGCAGUCUAAAUUGCUGUAUGGGUUUGCCAGCACGUUGGAAGGAGAUUCUUCGUCCGGCGGACACACAACAUUUUGAAGUAUUUAAUCUCAAAUCCAUCGCAUUCUUUCUAGCUCAUUGCUUUCCGAGGUAAGUGAUGAUUUGAGCGGAGGGUUGAAAUCAAUUUUUGCUUCGUUGGAGAUACGGCAAUGGCGAUCUCUACAAUGGUUCUCGACUUGGCCUAUGAGAUCUGAAUACUUGGUACGUCUAUUGUUGUCUCUACCUGUUUCUUUUUAUUAUUUUUAUUAUAGAGAGGAUUGUAUAAAAGAGAAGGGAGGGUUAUUGGAUAUGUGUACCUAAUCGGCUAUUUCUACACUUGGAACGCAGUUUCUCGGCAGUUUAUUUUUUAAAAAAUUUUCUUUUUUAUAACAUUCAAAUUUGAUAGGAGUAAACUAAGGGUUAAGGUGUCGUGGCCGUGCCAGGACAUAGUAGUAGAUUUUUAACAUAUAUAAUAUAAAAUUAAAUUUUGAAAUUUUUUUAAAAUAAUUAUAAAUAUUAGUUAUGUAUAGUUUACUACCUAUAACAAUUAAUAUAGUGGUAGAUUUUUUAGAUGUGUAUAUAAAAUAAAAUAUGACUAUGACUUACAGGAAAUGAAAAGUAAAAAUUGAUUAACUUUAAAUUUUUUUUUCAAUUCUAUUUUUAUUCGAACUUACAAAAAUUAUAAAAUAUAAAAUUAGAAAAAAAUUAUUUUUUAAAUUUUUUAUAGAAUUUGUAUGAUUCAUCAAUAUGACGAGAGAUUUCAUGAUGACUAGGUUAAAUAGAAUUGAAAAAAAAAUUUAAAGUUAAUCAAUUUUUACUUUUCAUUUCCUGUAAGUCAUAGUCAUAUUUUAUUUUAUAUACACAUCUAAAAAANUAUUUAAUUAUUUCAGUGUUUUGUUUAAUUUUUAAAAAAUAUUUAUUUGAAAUUUGAAGGGAAAAAUUAUUUUUUACUAAAUUUUUUUUAAAAGAAUUGUAAAAUCUUAUGUAAAUAUGUAACAAUAAACUAUAUGACGAAUAAUUAAAUAAAUUUAAAUAUUAAAUUAUUUAAAUUUAAUUUUUUAUAUUUAUUAGUAUUUUUUAUUUUCUAAAUUUAAAAAUUGAAUUUUCAAAGUUGAAAAUUUUUUUAUUGCAAAUCUCAGAGGCCACUUUGCAUAAGAAGUUUAUUGGUUUUGAAAUUUUGCAAAUAUGGACUAUCUUUUUCGUUUUUGUAGAUAUGGUCUGAAUUUUCAGUAAAUGGAUAGAUUUUUUUUUUUUCCUCUUGUUCGUUAUUUUUUGCUACCAUUUCGUCUUCCCACUCUUCUUCUUUGCUUCUUCUCCAUUUUCCUCUUCCACUCUUUAACCUGGCCGUCAAUGCGGAGGUGAGCGUGUUGCGGAGCGCAUGGCUACAGAUGCCGAUAGCAACGAGGAUACCAAAGAAUUUAAAGACGAUUGAGUGGGAGUGUCAAGCAAGGGAGGAAGAGCAAUAGCCGAAAAAAAAUAUAUAGGUGGAAAAAAAAUAUAUUUUUUCUCUAGGGAAGAUUAUAUGUUGUCACUGCUAUAGAAAAUGACAAGAAAAAAAAUAAUAUUAUUUAAGACAAAAGUAUAAAGUUGUAUUUUUUUUAUACAAAAGUUGUACUUUUUGAAACGAAAGUUGUAUUGUUUAAAUAAAAAUUGCAGUAUACAAAAUAAAAGUUACACUGUUUUAGACUAUUGAACUGUUUGAGGCUAAGUUUCAAAUAGUAUAACUUAGUUUUAAAUAAUUUUAAAUGGUACAAUUUUUUUUAAAAAGUGCAAAUUUUAUUUUAUAUGGUCUCAAAUGAUUUUAAAUAGUGCAAUUUUUGUUAAAAAAAAUAUAAUUUUCGUUUAAAAAAUAUAAUUUUCAUCUCAAAUAAUAAAAUUUUCAUUCAAAUAGUACAAUUUUUAUCUAAAUAAUAUAAUUUUCACUCGAAAAGUCUAAAUUUUAUCUCAAAAAGUAUAAUUUUUAUCUCAAAAAAUAUAAUAUUUAUCUUAAACAAUGUAAUUUUAUUUUCUUUUCUUUUUAAUUUUUGAUCUUUUCUUUUUCUUCUUUCCUCUUUGAUUUUUGACCUUUCUAUAACAGCGUUGGAAGGAAAAUAUAUAUAUAUAUAUAUACUUUUCUAUUUUUUAUUAUUUCUUUUUUUUUUUUCACCGUUUGGAUUUCUUUUUUUUAAUCGCCGUUGCCAUCCAUUGCCAUAGACUUCACCGGAAGCUCACCUUUGCGAUCAAUGCCGUAUCAAUUCAGAAAAAUAUUAGUGAUAAUCUACAUGAUGCAGUGGCUUCGGUGAACACACCCCCACCCCCCCACCCCCCAAAAAAAAACUAUUCAUCAUGACGAGUAUAAAAAUAUUAAGCGCUUUCUAAAAAAUACUUAAUCAAGCUCAUAAAAAAAGACAAGAACAAGGCUCAUCUUUUGUGCUCCUUGGAGAAGCGGAAGUGCGUCUUCGUUCUCACCCUCACGGGCGACGACGAGCAUCGCCUCAGCCACGAUCUCAUUACCUCCACCCGCUUUACCCCUGCUCAUGCCCACUUUGAGUCCUUUUUGAGCACCCAUCAUAGGGAGAGAAGGCAUCGCAAAGGACCGCAGCAGACAUGGCGGAGGAGAUGAUGAGGGUCGGAGAGAAAAAGACGAAGAAGAAAAAAAACGAGAAAAAUAAAUAAAAGUAUUUUAAUCAAUUUGCUGAAAAUUCAGAUCAAAUCUGAAAAAAAAAAAAAGAAAAAAAAACACUCACUAUUGCAAAAUUUCAAAAUCAUUAAGUUUUUUAUGCAAAUUGGCCAGCCUCAAAUUCAGUACUAGAUUUAUUUAAAAUAAUUUAAAAUUAAAUUACAUAAUGGCUUUAUCAAGUAUAUUUAUUUUUAAAUUUUUAUAAAUUAUAAAUAAAUAAAGAGUCCUGCUGCUAUGCUAUCGAUAGCACCAAGCACUUAAUGCUAUUAAGUUUUCAGCCGUUAGAUUAACCCAUUUGAUUAUUUUUACCUGUUAGAUUAUACUAUUCAACCAACCACCCACUCACCCCUAAGAAGACCCACAUCAUCCUAACCGCACAUCUUUUAAUCCAAUGGUGAAAAACUUAAUAGCACUAAGUUAUUGGUGCUAUUAAUAGUAUUCUAGCCUAGUUCAUAAAUAUUUGCAUAACUUCAUAUUUCUUCAAAACAAAAACUUUACAAGCCAGAACAUUCAAAAUAUAUGAAAAAAAUAAAAUUAUAAUUUUUUUUACUUACCUAAUAAGCAUAUCUUCAAUUUGCUAUUUUUUUACCUUUUCUCUUAAGAUCAAAAUGAUCAAAGCAGAAAUAAAAAAAAAAAAAUAAAAGAAAAAAUAAGAAAAAAUAUUAUGAAAAAAAAGGAGGAAAAAAUAGAAGAAAAAAAAAAGACGAAGAAAUAGCAAGAAGAAAAAAAAAAGAUUAAAAGAGCGACGUGAAAAGAAAAAAAAAACAUAGAAGAGAAUAAGAGAGGGAUGUGCGUGGGCAACAAAAAAAACAAAAAAAAAAAAAAAAAAAAGGAAAAAAAAAGGGUUGCCACGAUACCGUUUGGAUAUCGCCAUGGCUUGGACGAUACUCUUUGGAUAUUGCGCCACACAACAUGGGAGGGUCCAAGAGAAAUCCCUCUCGACCGUGCUCCUUAAUUGGUGCUCCUUAAUUGGUGGUACGGUACGUAUCGUCCCGUGCUGACCGGCAUAGAGUGAUACAUUAAACCUUGGAGUAAACUUAGGUUCGGUGUGUUCUUUUGCAUCAUGCGAUAUCAUCAGAAUACCCUUACGAUAGAUAGAUAACAUUCGUACUCGAUCCUCUCUGCAAUAAUUUGCUCACAAUGACAAGCAAUUCACAAAGUUUGAAGUAGAAGAAUACAUAUAUGAUACAAUUAUUAGGAAACCGACUACGUCAUAUUUGUACGUACUUUAUUUUUGAACUAAACUCUGAGACAAAACUCUGAAACUUUAUGAUCUGUAAAUACUAAAAAAAUGUAAAGAAUUUGAUUCCACAAACUGUCUACAUUCUUUUACCGCAGAAACUGUUUUGAUUACUUACACAGGAUUGAAUAUAUAUUUACUUCUACUCACAGGAGUAAUAUGUUAGAACAUGAAUUACUUACCAAGCACUUGAACGAGGGAAUGUACAGUGAAAAUCUCAGGAUCCAGAAAACAAGUUACCAAUUUUUCGAAGUUCUUUUAGAGCAGCUAUAGCUUCUUGCUCCUUGCCUCUGUUGCUCGCAGCGUUUGUUAGGUUAUCCACCAAAUCCAGGCCCAAGUCUUGCUCAAAAAACGACUCGAUCACCUACCAUUACAACAGUUAGAUUAUUACAAAGUUGCAUUAAAAAGAUAAAAGAUAAGAGACCAAACGAUAAAAUAUGCACCGAUUGCACUCGCAUCUAAACUAUUGUUUGACCUUUCCUUGUUAAUAAGGUUCAAAAAUAGUAGAAUAUGUGUUAGGCACAAGCCCUUCUUGCUGAUUGUGUAAUAUGCUCGUAGUAGUGUUUGUUUGAUGGUAAUAAUGAUUAUAGCUGCCAGCAAGGUGCAUUCCACGGUCCUGUGAAUUUGCUUACGAAGACAAAGCAUAUAAACAAAAUCUAAAGGCAAGAUAAGUUAUAGAGAAGGUUAGUAUGUUCCAACCUUCGAGCUCUAUCGAUAUGCUGAUGACAUCCUUGAAGGAACUAUGCGUACAUAUGCAUGCACAUAUAUUAAUGCAGACUGACAUACAAUUCAGAGAUGACAAUUAUGUUUGAGCAAUGCCAGAUAGGAUCUCUAAAAAAGCCUCAUAUUAGAAGUUUAGAACUGAAUGUACGAGUGUCUCGUAUGAAGUAUUUUUUACCUGGAUAUUAGCAAGAAUUGAGCGGCCAAGACACCUAAAGGUGUUCAUCACCUCUCCAUCUCCCGCUUCUGGAUUCAAGCUAACUCCGCAGGAAUGACAACGCUCACAAGAAGCCAAAAUACUUAAUAUAUCCUGAGAAAUCACUUCAUUCCCAGAAGAAUUUUGGGGCUUAAAAUCCUUUUCUUUAUUAAACGCUUUACGUGUUUCGGCAUCAAUACUACUGCUUCCUAGCUCCUCCACAUGACGAAAUUCAUCAAUAUAAUUAGCAAUAAAUGGUGAAGCAUCACUUCGUCUACAACUCACAACGUCAUGAUUAAUCUCUUCUUCAUCGGCACAAUUGAUUCCUUCUUCUGAACCUGAGGGAGUAAAACCACUUGCUCUCGGCAUGUCAGAGUUUUCAUCAGCGUGAUUUCUACCAUCCAAAAUUAUGCGUCUAAGAGUAGACCAAUGAUCCUUUUUCUUGCUCGCAACUGUUUUAUCAGCAUCAGAUUCUGCUUGAGGAGAGAGUAAUCUCUUGUUGAACAGACCUUUUCUCGUCUUACUAAUAAUGGAACCACCACGAGUAAUCUUAGAUAGAACUUCUGUAUCAUAAAUCACCUUCCACUUCUCUUCCCAGUAGUCUGAUGAAGUCUUGGGGUGAUCCAAAGCAAUCAUCCCAUCACCUUUUACAUAAUUCCUGAAGGUCCUCUGUUGGCAAGAAGAAAAGUUUAUAUCAAGAGCAAGACUUUGCAGUGAUUUUGCCUUCCCGAUCAAUUUCCUCACAUUUAUAUCUUCCGGGAAGUUCACCAAUCUCUGAAGACAGGUAGUCGCAUGCUCACUAGCCAAUAGUGAUGAUCUUAGGUGAAGCAGCAUUGAUAUAGCCAUUGAUAUAAUGAAUGCUCCGCGAGGAGAAGAUAAUACCUUAUAAUCCCCUCUGUUCUCUUUAUCCGUGUUGAAUGUACUAUUCGGAUAAUAGAAGAUCUCAUCCCAAACAGCCAAGAGAUUUUCGAGUGAAAAUUCACGCCCAAAUAAAACUCGAAGCCACCGUAGAGAAAAGUAUUGAGGUUCUACCCCCAAUUCAGUGAGGUGGCUGUAAAGAGAUAAAUCAAUGCUUGAGAGCAAAUGAUAUAUUGCCUCUGACGCUUCGAGCACUGGUGCUAGUCCUGUAUUGGAUUCCUUAGGAAGAGAUACAGAGAAAAAAUCGGCUAUAGCAAUUAUACCACUUGCACCGUUCAUUAAACCAUCAAACAUGCAAUAGGUGUCAUGUUCGAGGAAUUUCUCAGAUAUGACAAUACCCAACUCGCCUUCCGCUCCAUAAGCAUCGUUCAUCAAAAAUAGCUCCCUUGUAUCAGGAUCGAGCUCAUCCAAACUGCUUAUUUCGGAAGCAUUCUGCCAAGAAGAGCCAUUCUUGUUUGUCCUUACAUUCGUUGGCUCCUCUGAUUUGUAGUCAGAAAUUAUAUCUCUUUCUGGAAAAGCUGAACUGUUAUAAUCGCCAAUAAGGCGGUCUUCUUCGAGGCCGUGUGCUUGAGAGGAGUGCUGCACAUCAACAUGAAGUACAUAUAGCAGAGGAGCUAAAAGUUCAUGCAUUCCUGUAAGAAAGUAAAAAUAUGCACAUGAUAACAAAUGUCAAAUGCAUAAAAUAGAUAAAUUUUAUUGCUAGCCUGAUUACUAGAAUGAGUUUGAUAACGAAAGAAGAUUUAAUAAAAUAUAUAUAUAAGGCAUCAAGACAAUUUAAAAGUGCAUAAUAUCAUUCAAGAUGAUUUUUCUUUUGUAAAAAAUAAGAAAAGCACUUGCCUUGCCUGUAUCCGUACUCUGGGUGCUUAAGACACCACACCAAUAGUAUGCGACCUAGCAUGGAUUGGCAUGCUGCUGUUUGGAAGUAGCUCCCUUCUUCAGGAUAGAGCCGUGAUAGAUCUUGAUUGAGCGUUUUCUCUAGUUCAGCAUUCUGGAAAAAGCGGCCCCACAUGCUGUCUACAGAGGUAGCAUAAAGCAAAAUAUGCAAUAACUUAAAUAGGAAUCAUGAAUUCUGGCCUUAAGAGAGUAGCUAAUUUGGGCCCUCUUCACUCAUAGAUGUUAGGAAAUGAAAAUGCGGUUAUAUGUAAUGAAAACAUGUGCAUCUAUAAGAAGACAAAUUUGCAUCUUAAAAAUCUUCCAGCAUCCAGGAUGGGAAGUAUUAAUAAGAAUGCUGAGUAAUAUUGAAGAAAAUGCUUUAACUAUCAAACUGCAAAUUAAGUUACAAUGUCGGUCGAUAUCACAAAUCAGGUGAUCAUAAUAACCCCGACCUUUAAUUAGUCAUAUUAGCUAAUCCCAACCGAGAAAACUUCAAAUUCAAAAAAGUGUAGAAAACUGCAGAAGCUUAUAAUUACUUAGAUCAUCUGCUCGAAAGAAACACUAGAAUGUGGAUUCAAACAAUUCUCAACCUAUAUUAUAUCCUUCAGAACUUCCAUCCGAGAAAAGUUAAUAUUCUUCAGGAGCAAAUAAGAAAAAUAUACCUGGAUUUUGCGACAAUGGAUUUUCCACAAUGGGAUCAGGAGGCUUGCUUUCAUCCUUCAAGAGAUGUGGAUCAAUGAGAAGUUGACGCCUCAAACUAGCAUAUCUAUCAAUAGAAACACAAUAGAGAAGAAAAGAAUAAAAAUAUUGAUCUCUUCAGAUAUUGCAAUCUGAGAAUAUAGAAUAAUUUAUGACUAAAGCAGGGAAGUAUGAUUCGCCAAAUUCUCCAAAUUCGUCAUCAAAGUGAACACUUCAUCUUUGUGCCUCAAAGCAAACUCUCUAACAAUAAACAAAUUGGUCAGAACUAACAUAGCCUUUUCAUGAUAGAGACAAGCAGAGAAAAAUGAUCAAUCAUGACAGUGCGAAUCCAAAAUGAGACAAAAAAGGAAUUAAGGAAUGUUAAUGAAACAAAUGUCCAAAAUGAGACGAAAAGGGAAUUAAGGAAUUUUAGUGAAACAAAUGUUAAAAACGUAUUAGAAAAGGGAAUUAAAGAAUAUUAAUGAAACAAAUGUUAAAAAUGUAUUAGACCUAAUCUAAAUUAUGGUGCAUUUUCAAAUAAAUACUGAAACUGUAAAAAAAAAUUUGAUUUUAUUACACAACAUAUUUGAUUUAGCAACCUCACUCUCCGAAAUAAAUGCUACUUCUAAAUUUUUGACGUGAUAUUUUGUAACAUGAGCAACAAAGGGUAGUAAAAUCAAAAUUUCCAAAUUUCAAUCAGCCAUUUCAACAUACGCUCUAUAGCGCAGGUAACAUUUGUACCUUUUUAGCCAAAUAAAUGGAAGAAUACGUAACUUUUAAAUGCUAAUCAUGAUUAAAUGGCUUGUUCGCAAUAAAACCACCAACAUCUGCGGUUAAUUAUCAAACCCUACCAAUCAAAUGUGGCCGGAUUUUGUUCUUUGUUGAAACAUAAAAUCACAAGGAUAAAGGGAUUAAGAAUAAUCCAAUCUACAAUCUCCAAGAACCUGCAUAAACUCCCAGUUUUCUACACUGGAAUAAUAAUUAGGGCUCAAAAGUUAUCAAUCACAAAUUCUAUAAACAAAAUGAGAUUCCCAAAACCUAUAUCGUUUCCUUAUCAAUAGAUCAACAAGCAAACACCAAUGCCCAUAGUUAAUUGCAGCAUUCUUGAGCGCAAGAAACCCUACUUUAAUUGAAUCAAAAUUAUAAACUUAAAUACCAGAACCGAUUCGAGAUAAGGGUUUUCUCAAAGAUUCGAUCUAACAAAAUUAGAAAAGAAUUAAGGGGGAAAAGAAAAAGGGAAAAAGAUUCGUAAAUUCGACCUCCUCCGAGAAUCCGCGGCGACUCUUCGGAUCUCCUCGAUCGAGGCGGCGGAGCUCGGCAGGAUCCCGAGAUCGACUCGCCACCGAACCCCUCGAAGGCUCCCGAACCUCUGCCUCGGAAACCGCUCCCCGGAUGAGGAAAUCGCCAUUUCUCUCUCUCUCUCCCUCUCUCUCUCGCCUCCCCACCAAUUCCAGAUCACAACAUCGAGAUCGGAUUUGGGGAGAUCGAAUUUGGGGGGAAAUGGAGAGGAGAAAAAUCUAAUACGAGGGGAUUUGAAUUGGGAGAGAGAGAGAGAGAGAGAGAGAGAGAGAGAUGAGGAGCCGAGGUGUUGAGGGGUUAAAUAUGUGAUUUCCCUUUUUCCUUUUUUCCUUUUUCUUUUCCUUUUUCUUUUUACAUGGCUAUUUUUUUUCCUUUAAAAAGAAAUUGAACCUCAUGUAUCCAUUUAUCAAAUUCUAGUUUGAAUUUUGCUGAAUACAGCCGAUUUUAUCUUUUAAUUUUUAAUUUUUUUAAAAAAAUAGUAACUUUAUUUAUUUUUGAAAAAAUAAAUUUAACUAAAAAUACGAAGGAAAUAAAUUUUGAAAUUGAAAUCUCGAAUAUUAAUUACUGAGUUCGGCUAUGGUGCUGGUAAAAGUACCAAGUAUUUGAUAUUUGUAAAUUUUUUACUGUUAGAUCUACGCCUUUAAUCAUUUUCAUCCGUUAGAUUAUACUAUUCAACCAAUAACCCACUCAACCCUAGAGGGCCCACAUCAUCUUAACCGCACAUUCCUUAAUCCAAGGGCUAAAAACUUAUAAGCACCAAUAAUUUGGUACUUUUAAAAGCAUAGGAGCUCAAUUCUUAAUUAUUAAUAUUUUUGUCAUUUGACAUGCGUCAGAUGUUAUUGUUGUCUAUUUCAUUCUAAUAUAUGAGAAAAUGAGAAUAAAAACAAGAUAGGUGAAAUAAUAACCCGGAUAUCUUACACUGUACAUUUACAAUUAUAUGUCAUAAGAAUCUUAAUUAGAAUCUAGUUAGUUAGAUAAAUCUACCAUUUAUUACGGAUUUAUUAUUGAAUUUUAAAACCCGCUAAUAUCAAUAAUUUUAAAAAUGUUAUAUAUCUUAUUUAAUAAAUUUAAAAUUUGAAAGUACGAUAUUAAUAUCACAAGUAAGUAAAGAAUACAAAUAUAUGAGAUGAAAAAAUAUAUCUAGUUAUUACUAUUAUUAUUAAUAUUAAUAUUAUAUUAUCCUCUAGGAUCCAUUGGCAUAUUCCACUUGGCAUAAAAUAACAAAAUGCCGCAUCAGCAGCAUAGACAAAUGGAAUGUCCACUGAGCAUUAAAAUAUCUCACAGUGAGAUGCUUUGGGUUACUAAAGAAGCUAUUGUCCUUUUCCAUUGUUGGUUUUGAAUAUAUAUUUAUUAUACAUUUAUACUUGGCCACAGUUUCGAUUGGGUACAAAAAAAAAAAAAAAAAAAAAAAGCACGNAAGUGUAUCAAGUUAGUACCCUGUGGUUUCUCACUUUAUCACUUUAGUACCCUGUGGUUUAAAGUGUAUCAAGUUAGUACCCUGUGGUUUUGCAUUUUAUCACUUUAGUACCCUGUGGUUUUGAUUUUGUAUCAAAUUAGUACCCUGUGGUUUUUUAAACUAUAGGGUACUAAAGUGAUAAAGUGUGAAACCACAGGGUACUAAAGUGAUAAAGUGCAAAACCACAGGGUACUAACUUGAUACACUUUAAACCACAGGGUACUAAAGUGAUAAAGUGAGAAACCACAGGGUACUAACUUGAUACACUUUAAACCACAGGGUACUAAAAUGAAAAAGUGUGGAACCACAGAGGGGGUUUUGAAGUUUUCCCAAAAAAAAAAAAGGGGAUAAAGAUUUUAUCCCUCCUCUUGUGUCCAAAUAAGAAGUUGGGUGGGUGGGAACUUGUUCCCCUGGUAGAGAGAGAGAUAUUUUUAUUUUAAAUUAGAAUUUAAAUUUUUAAAAUUUUAAAAAUUGUAAUCUCAAAAUUAGAAUUUAUAAUUUAAAAUUCUAAAUUUUAAAGUUUAAAUUUUAAAUUUGAUAUUUUAAAAUUUUAAAUUUAAAAUUUGAUAUUUUAUAUUUUUAAAUUUAAAUUUGGUAUUAAAUUUAAAAUUUAAAAAUUAAAUUUUUAAAUUUUAAUUUCAAAUUUUAAAAUUUAAAAGUUAAAAAUUUAAAUUUUAAAUUUAAAAAUUCAAAUUCAAAUAUAAUAAGAAAGGUAAUACCAUUAUUUUCUAUUUAUAACUAUCAACUAUUCAUCUUAUUUCAUCUUAUCUAUCCAAACUCUAUUUUUCUUAUUUUCGGGAACAACCAAAUUUUAAUGCAAACACAAAAUUGGUCUAGUUCUCGCUUAUACCUAAACUUGUAUCUAUUCCUGAUAUAAGCUAAUUCUUAUUUAUACCCGAACCAAACGAAGCCUUAUGAUAUAGGUGCAAUAAUCCAAAUUUAUCUAUACAAAUUUAGUUUAUAUAUUUUAUAUAAUUUUUAUAAUUAUAAAUUUAUUAAAAUAAAUAAUUUGUAGAAAUUUUAAAGUUAAAGCGUUUAAAUCAAACAAAUUAAAAAAUAAAGUAAUAGUAAGUUAUGUAAUUUUUUAUUUUUAUUUUUUUGAGUCUUUUUCACACCACCCCACUAUUAGGUAGGUAAAUGGAUCUGGGUUGGUAGAGUUUCUUCUCUGAUUCUCUCCGAAAGGGACGAUAACGAAGAACAGAAAAAUAUAAAAAAAUAUAGAUUUUUUCAAAAUCUGUCCCGCUAAAAAAAAAUAAAGUAAAAAAUAGAAGAAUCCUUUUUCUUUUAAUCCACCGCUAUCCGCAAAAAAUCGUCAAAAAUAAGCUUCCAUUUAAAUCUACAUGCAAAUAAUUCGUCUCUAUUCAAAUCCGUUCCAAACGAAGUGAUAAUUGAGAGCUAAAACUAGAAUAAACAUAUAAGUUAAUUAUUUUUGGUUUGAUAAGAAACGGGGCAACGCUACUCGUUAUCCUUGUCUAGGGGUAGAACUGGGCCCGAGCCUAAACAAGGCCCGGUCCAAUGGGCCAUGUUUGGGCCGGGCUUUGGGUAUUGAAAAUACAACUUUGGGUUCGGGCCGGGUUUAAAAAUUUAGGCCCGAAAAAAUUUUGGGCCUAUUUGGGCGUGUCCAGCCCGACCCGAGCCCGACCCAAAAGCCCGAUAUAUUAUUAUCAAAAUAAAAUAUUUAAUUAUAUAUAUUAUUUAUCUAUAGUAUAUCAUAUAUAGUAUAUAUUGUUAAUAAUGAUAUGUACUUAUAUAUAUGAGGAUAUAUUAUAUAUUAACAAAAUAUUUAGUUCUAUAUUAUGAUAUAUUUGAUGUUAGAUAUUAAUUUCUUUGAUGUGAUAAAACUAAAAAUAGGUAUUUUAUUUUAAUUUUAUACAAAUAAAAGUAUUUAUGUAUUAUAUGAUAAAUGCAUAAAAUGGGCCUCCACAAAGCCCGAUGGGUAUUGGGCAUUGGGCUUAGGCUUGGGCCGGGCCUUAAUUUUUUAAAAAAAUUGGGUAAAAGCCUGACCCGAAGCCCAACAUUUUUUUGGGCCGGACUUGGGCAUAGUAAUACCCGACCCAAGCCCGGCCCAGUUCCACCCCUAUCCUUGUCCUUUCCCUUCACUCUUCCACGUUUCCGCAUGAGGGCAUUUUAGUCAUUUAAUAAAUAGCACGUAUUUACCAUAUAAUAUAUAUACAUAAUAUAUACACAACACACACACUCAUUCGCCCCAAAUCCAAUCCUAUCCCUCUUUCGCCCACUCCUCUCUCUCUCUCUCUCCCUCUCUCUCUCUGGGAGAGUGAGAGCGAGGAGGAUAAAAAAAUAAAAAUUCUAUCAAUAUAUUGUCUCCCUAUACGAGAUCAAAUAAGGCAAGGUUUUUAAUUUAUUUUUUAAAUUUUUUUUGCUCCUCUUGGGUUUUUUUUUUUUUUUUUUUCAACUGCUAUGAUAGACUCUAAUGUCAAAAGGUUCUCUCUCUGUUUUUUUCCUUAAUAUUUUUCACAUUUUCUUUUUAACACUUGUUUUUUUUUGUUUUUUGAGAGGAAUCUUUUUAAUACUUGUUGAUGGUUGGAUGGAAAUUUUUUCAUUUUAAUUAUGCUUCUGGGUUUUUCUUUAAUUAUAAAUCCAUUUUUUGUCUAAUGAAUAUCUAAUUGCUGAAACCGAUUCACAAAUAUUUGGCCGUUUUUGUCUAUUUAAUUUUUUUUGUAUAGUUUUCUUGAUGGAAAUUGAGUGAGGAGAGCAUUACUAUUGUUAUUAUUUCUUUUUUGUUGUUUACUAUUUGAUUAUAAUCUUAUAUGAUGUUUGUUUUUACUUGUUUUUUUUUUUUUCAAAUGCAAAUGUGAAUAAUGCUUUUUCUUUUUCUUUUUUUUGAAUAGGACAAUUUUUUACUGUUUCAAUUGAACUGAUUUGUGCAGUAAACCUGUUUAGGAGCAAUAUUUACCUCUUUGCCAUUGAAUGGAAAUGGACCAUUUGAUGAGUGUGAUGGAUCUUCCACCAGGUUCUAUUCAUUCUCUGUUUCAAACUAUUUUGGCAUUCCACCAAAUAAAUUAGACAAAUAUUUUACCUUCAUUUGAACUGGAUAUGUAGAUAUUUAUACAUGUUUUGCAAACAGGGUCCACGGUGUAUCAAAAGAAAUUAGUCGAAGAAAUGGAAGAACUCGGAAAAUUAAGGACGGAUUUGAUGAUAGCGAAAUGCCAAAUUAAGAAUGAAGUGAUCAUGUGUCCUAUACCAAGGAAACUUACCAGGUUUCUCUCUUUCAUAUAAGCUAUUCUGAUGAAAAUUUGAUGUUUUUGAUUGUGAAUCGAAUUAUCGAGUUGCAGUAGAACAAUACUUGAUUAUCGGUUUCAUUUCUUUCUUCUGGAUCAGUGAAUUUCCAUAUCUUUAUUUGAUUUUCUUAUUAAGGAAUUAGACAUUAUUUAGUCCCUUACCAACAUAUUCUUGUAGCUUACAUGUAGUUUGAGAUCAAAUGCACUGCAAUUUCACUUACUUUUUGUUGCAGUCGAAUUUGUUAGUUUUUUUUUUUUUUUCAUACUUGUGACUUCCUUUAUAUUUUGCAAAAUGCAGGUCGCGUAGAGAGCAUAAUGAAUUAAAGGCUAUAACAGAUCUUUCCGACAGCAUUGCAAGCAUGGUUUGUGACUAUACUGAUCACUAUUUGAAUUCAAAUGGUUUCAAGCACACUAUUAGCAAUUUUUCUAGCUAUUCUUAAUUUUCGGAGCACUUUGCUGUUCUUUAUGCUUCUUUUUAGCAUUUGAGCUUACCAAACUUUCUCCUUUUCACUUAAUGAACCCUAAAAUCAGAAUGUUAUAUGCUACAGGCUUCACCACCAUACUAUGCUGGAUCCCCUCCGAUUCGCGAAAGCAAUCCUCUUAUUCGCGAUUCACUAUUCAGAGAGCAAAUGGUGUAAAAGGCCUUACAAGUAUCAUCUCUUGAUACCCAAUUCUACCAAUUUUGACGACUUAAGGAGCGUCUUUUUUGUUCCGAAAUAAUCACCUUCAUUUCUCUGAUUUUAUCGGCAAAUUGUUGCGUAGUUUAUCUGUUCUAGAGAGCUCUUUAGCUUGGUUUUUGUUGCUUUUAAUCGUCUUCGCAUCGUGUACAUAUCUUCAUGGCAAGUUUUUAAAGACAAACUGUGAGUCGGUUUUCAUGAAUAAAUGUCUCCAGAGUCACUCUCAUGAAUUUAUACCUUCACAGGGUUUUAAGAGCUAUAUUGAUCGGUUUGGUUGUAACGCGUCAAUAGUUCCAUAUCGGAUGAGAAAAUGAUUCUAAUUAGAAUAUAUGAGGCCUCACACGCUGGUAAUAAUAAUUGGACUUAAACAUUUUGAGCCGGUGAUUUGGAGCCAACGAUUUAUUAUUGCUACCAGAUUUGGUAUCGGAGCUAAAUAUCUGUCGAAAGUGUGAAAGCUAAGUAUUAUGUAGCACAAAGUGCAACACCACAAGUUUGGUGAAAGCCACCUCUUGAACUCAUAAGAGCCACCUCUAGAAUCUCACAUCACCUGGUAAUUUGGUCUAUAUUUCUGAGGACAUUGGGGUCUAAGCGGGGGGCUUAAACCCAUAGGAGCCAUAUCUAUAAUCUCACAUCGCGAUAAUCUAGUCUAUAUGUCUGAGGACAUUGGGGUCUAAGCAGAAGGCUUGAACCCAUAAGAGCCAUCUCUAGAAUCUCACAUCGCUUAAUAUUCUGGUCUAUAUGUCUGAAGACAUUAGGGUCUAAACGGAAGAAGUUUAACAUCCCAAGUCCCACAUCAGAGGAAAAAAUAAUGAAUUGAAAUAUAAGACCACACACUCUAAUAAUAAUAACUGGACUUAAGUAUUUUGAGAUCCAAUGAAUUAUUAUUGCUAGCGGGUCGGAUCGUUACAUUAAUAGUACCCAUCUAAUCAAUACCCAUCUUUGUAUAUUUCGGUAAUAAAUAAAAAUAACUAUCCAAAACACUACAUUGUGAAGCUAUCAAUCUGCUUCUACUGCCACUCAUCAUCUAACAUACAUUUUAUCCGCUCUCUCUCUUUUGCUAUAAUCUUUCUUCUGAUAUGUAGUAUCAAAUUUUAAUGGUACGAUUUGCUUAGUGUAUGAAUUUCCUGGAAAGUUCCUUCUCUCCUUUGGAAGUGAGCGGAGCUCCGGCAACCAAUAUGCAACAUAUUCACCUUCAGGAUCAUAGGUUUUUGCCUACAAUGAAGCGAGUAGAUCACUAUAUUCUAUUUGUAUACUAAUCUCUAAAAUUUGCGUUAAGUAUGCUAUUCAGUAUGGGAAGCUUCUCUAAUAUUCAGUUCAGUGAUUCUAUUUUUCAUCUAGUAGUGUUGUUAAAAUGUUAUGUUUGUAACUUUAUCAGAAUACGAAUGUAAUGAGAUCAUACCUGCUUGGGGAUGCUGAAGUAGCGAUCUUCUCUUGGAUCGUUGCCGACUCCUAUACAGCAAAACAUAUACAUUUAGCUUUGCAAUGCUAAUUAUAAAAACUCUUGCUAGGUGACUUUACAGAGCUUGAUCUGAUGUGCUAACUAAAAAGAAAUUUAUUUGUUCUCGUGUUUUAUUUCUUUAAUUCCAGUGUACUAGUAGCUUUUUACAGAACAAAAAGGAGGGGAAAAAAGAGCUAACCUGCUCCAUAAGUCCAGUUACCGUAAUUGGAAGCUGGAUCAUAAUCUAAGAGACAUGUCUCAAACCAUUCCGCUCCCAUUCGCCAGUCGAUGCCCAUAUCUCGAACCAGAAACGAGCACACAAUCUGCGGAAACAAAUCAAAUUGGAAUUGGAAUGUUGCUGAUUUUCCUAAACAACUGAGUUCAAAUUAUAUUUUGCUUUGUGCCGGGGCACUGUUUGCUUCUCUUGAACUGCAACAGUGAGUUAUUAUUAUAAGAAGUCCGACAUUACCUGCCGUCCUCGGUUCGACAUGAAUCCAGUGGUUGACAGCUCUUUCAUGUUCGCGUCGAUGAUAGGGUAACUAACAUUGACCGAAAAAUGCAAAGCAUAUUACGAGGCUAUCUAUUUCGUUAAACUCUGAUACAACAUAUUUGGUUUUUUCCAAACUAAAAAAAUAGAUGGAAAAAUUAUUGGAACAUACCCAGUACGGCCAUCUCUCCAGGCCUCAAAGAGUGCCCGAUCCUGGCUCCAGUUGCUCACUAUUUUCCGAGGUCCGCCUACAUUGAAAAGGAAAAAGAUUAUCCACUUCGGCCAUCGAACUGUUCAUUCUAUUUCAUACUAAAUGGUUCCAUCUAAAUGGUUUAAAACGUUACAGACGCGAUGUUGUAUUAUAUCUGUUUGGAGUACUCAAAGCUUGAAAAGCCAUGAUGCGGUUGAAACUAAAAUAUAGAAGUUGUUAACAGAAUGAAACGACGAAGUUGUUAACAGAAUGAAACGAAUGUAGGAAACACAGUUUAAGAUGUUUAUCAUUGGAGAGGGCAAACUUAUUAGCCAAGAUGUCGAGGAAGCAAAUAUAAGCUACACAGUAAAGAAAAAAGACAUGAGACAAGUACUAACCUAGAUGGAAGAUGGAAUUUCCGUAUUUUAUUGAAAGAAAUCUGAAGUAGUCCCUCCAUAUGAGCUCAAACAAAACCCUGAAAAUAGAAAAAUAAAAGGAAAAGAAACUUCACGAUAUGAUUCCGUGCAGUGUCCAAGCAAGCGAACCAGCAAACUCGAAAAAUCUUGUAUAUCAAGUGAUUGUGGUGUAUGGGUAUAAGAUGACUUACCAGUAUGUUGAAUCAUUUGAUAUCCUCUGCUUCUCAUAUCUCUUAACCUAUUAAAUCACAAGUGUGCAUAAGCAAAAAAUUUCGUGGUGGGCAGUAUCAAAUCCAGCAGUUAUUAAGAUCGGUUUAACAUGAAACCUCUUCAUAAAUAUAACGUGGAGAGAGGCUGCCAGAAGCAAGCCACGAUGAGAAUUUCGUUGAAUAAUCUGGUCCUAACAUGCCAUUCCUUGUUUCCUUAUAGACCCUUAAUUUAUCCUGCGCGUAAACGAUCUUUUCUUAGAUCAUAACAACUACUCAAUCAGUUGAAUUUUUAUACUGUACAAGAUAAUAAGAAUAGAACCCACUAAGGGCCCAAAUUUGAUUUGUACUUUGCCCCUUGUGACACCCACUCUUUCCCUUUACAAAGUGCUAACACCGAUAAAAAAUUUCAUACUUUAUUACUGCAUAAUGUUUAUACUCACAAACAAAGAUACUUGACAUAGAAUUUAAUGAUAUGCGACAAAGCUGAGGAUUAUAAUUUACAUAGUGAGGGUGAAAAAAGAAAAAACAACUUUCUUGAAAAGCUACCUUCUUCCAGAAGUACUCAGUAACUCUCCCUAUAGCUGCAUUUUCACCUCCAACAAAACUCAUUCCUUUGUCACACUGCAUUUAGCAAAUGAAUAUAAAGAGUUAAAAGUUAAAACACGUGCGAGCGAACAGACGCACACAAAAUAAUCAAUAGAGAAUAAAUAAUGUUUAUCAUUUAGAAGCCACUCUUAUUCUUAGGUACUACUAGUCUCUUAAAAGAGCUACAACUUACAGUCUGAUGGUGUUAUGUAUUUAGUAAAUCAGGAAAGAAAAAAGAAAAAGAAAAAGAAAAAGAAAAAGAUAGAGCUAUAGCAAUGAAAGUGCAAAUCAUAUGAAGAGAGAUUUUCCAACAUAUUUGGCGGCUUUAUCAAUCUAGGAAUGCACAAAGAAGAAGAUAUACAAGGUGUCUAAGCAGCAAGAAAGAUUCAUUGACCUGCCUUUUUUUCUUCGAGUCCCAAUUGUUCGAGCGAAGGAAUGUCUCCCCACCCACCAAUCUCAUCUAAACUAGCGCUCGGAGGUGGCCCAAAUGACAAUGGCAACUUGCAGCAGCUCCUAGUUAAGCACUUAGACUCAACAGCCUGCAUAAAUGCAACGACAAAUAAAUGUCUCUGUUGCCAACAAAUGAAAUAGAAGAAAAAGAAAACUUGGAAUCUCAGACUAUACCUUGCGAAAUUGUGUAUAAACAUCUGGUAAGUCCCUUAUGCUGAAUGGAAGGUCAUCAAUGUGAUACAUAGUUGUUCCCCAAAUAAGUUGCAAUUUGGGAUUUAUCGGUUCCUGAUCAGGUGAUUGAGGUAACACUACUUGUUGCAAUCUUUUGAGAACACGAUGUUCAACGAGAAGUUCCUCACUGCAUGUUUCCUUAUGAGCAUAGACCUAAACCAAAUAGAAACAGAUCACUAAAAAAUUAACUAAGAAACACACUACCAGUGGCAUACAGGACUAUGCAGCCCNCCCCCCCCCCCAAAAAAAAAAAUCACGUUUUUCUUGAAAGAUUUUAUGAUCUUUAAUUAAGCCAUUUGCUCUGGUAGCGAAGACCAACAUUACACAGUGAAGGCACAAGAGGCAUGGGAAUGUGAAUAUUGAAACAUAAUACCGAAAAAAACACUAUAUGCGAAAAAUAAUGAGUUCAUCAGUGUAAAAUGUUGUAACUUUUCGUGCGUGCGUGUGUGUGUGUUUGGAUGUUUGGUGCAUGUGUGUGCGUGCGUGUGUGCGUGCGUGCGUGUGCGUGUGCGUGUGCGUGAGAGAGAGAGAGAGAGAGAGAGAGAGAGAGACUCACUGUGUGGACACCAAAAGCUUUUACGACUGAAGGAAGGAUAUCUUCGGGCUUCCCAUGUUUCACCAGCAAAUUUAGCCCUUUUUUGAUCAAAUUCUUUUUUAGAUCGGCAAGACACUCUAUCAAAAAUUGUGCCCUGAGAGCUGUUAAAAUAAAAUAAACAAUUAAUUAGCGAAGAAGGGGAAAUUAACACCAUACUCAACAAAUCAUAAAACAUAGCAUAACAUGAUUUUGCAUAUGACACUAUAUAUAUAUAUAUAUAUAUAGUUGAGCUGGAAUACUAUCGGUAGCAAACGGGCUCCGUUGCCACCAAUUUGUUUUCGAUGAUGGAGCCUCCAAAUCAACGAUCGGUACCGUUGAAAAUGAUCUAUACCACUUGAAGUAUCUAGAAAUCAAAUUUUAUGCUUUUCCGAUAUUGUUCUCUUGUUCAUCAAGUCGGCGUAAAAAUGAACGGCUGAAAAUGAAUAUCCUCUAAAAAGUGAUGAUAGGAAUUUUGUAAUCAAGAUCGAGAGUUAGAUCUUGUUCUAAAUAGUUUAAAAAAUUUUCUAACCAAAAUUCAAUUAAUUUGGAUAGUUUUACACCGUUAAACGAGAAAACGCCUCAUAUCAACCAUUAAAAUUACAAAUUUUGAAACCCUUUGAUCAUUAGGUUAAUGAUGUUGAAAAGAUUUGAAAUUUGAUUUCUAGAUGCUUCAAGUGAUAUAGAUCAUGUUCAACGUUGCCGAUCGUCGAUUUGAAGGCUCCAUCAUCGAAAACAAAUAGAUGGCAACGGAGCCCGUUUGCUACCGAUAGCAUUCCAGCUCAACUCUAUAUAUAUAUUCCCUCUCCUCUCUCCAAAGUGCCACAAACGUUGCUCAACAUUAUAAUUAGCUCCAUAAAAAGGGAACUAAGUAUAGACAAAUUAAAUCCACACAUUACCAGAACAGUUUAACCAUUUACUCUCCUCCCAGUAAUCUAAUCUUAACAAGCUACAAUAAGCACAUUAAUUAGCAUUUCCAUGAAAUCUACAAUAAUUUGGAGAACAAAAAAUCACAAAUUUUACUGCACAAUUCUAAGGAGAACACUACGAUCUAAUCCAUCGGCAUUUAAAAGAAAAUGAACAAUACAUCAAAAUCGAUCUCCAUACCUCCGGUUUUGGGGAAACCGAAGUAAUGAGUAGUCCCAAAGUUGCGAGGAUCCACACAAUACACAGGGAGUACCGAUUCCGACGUCGCCCACGCCCGAACCAACGCCUCGUUGUCGAGAACCCUAAGAUCGUUCCGGAACCACACGAUCGCCACCCCUUUCCCCGUCCUCUUCAGACUGGGAGAGGAGUACCUCCUAAACGCUUCAUCGGAGGCCAUUUCCGCCUCCUCGGAGCUUAAUCCAGGCACCAUAUAGCAUCGAACAGGGCGGAGGCGAUCGUUGGAAAGGGGAAUUGAGGACGAAGAGAGGCUCAUGGUGAGAUUGGAGCGGAAGAGGAAGCGAAUUGGGGUAGGAACUGGAGAGAAAAUUAGGGAUUUGAGUGGGGUGGAGUGGGGAGGGGAGAGAAGAUGAAGCAUUUGGAUUAGGGCUCGAGGGAGUUAGAAAUUUUUUUUUUUAAGUGACGUUCCUUGACGUUCCGUUAGGGGAGGGGAAACGCGAGGGGAAACGCGACGAUGUUUCGGAACGAGGAGAGGAGGAGGGAAGCGAGGGGAAGAGUGCCACGUGUACACGACGUAGAUUGAACACGUGGCGUUAAACUGGCCAAUGGUUGGAUGUGGGAUCCGUGGGCGAAUGAGAGCCGCGAAUUUAAAUGCGUGAUCCCAUGAGCAAUGAACACAAGACACCCGCGCAACUCGCGAAGUACUGCUACGUGUCGAUCCGUGAGUGGCCGAGGGCGAACCGGUGUCCUGGACCUGGUUCACUGCGUGAGCCCACAGCUAAGAGGUUUUUAAAAUCCAAGUAUAAACUAUGGAACAGUUUUUAAAAUUUAUCAUCCAAAACGUCAGAGUUAUCUCAAAAAUGAUUUUUUAAAAAGUAUUAGUGCUUGGUACACAAAUAAAUAAAUUUUCAAAAAAAUAUGAUGUUUUAAAUUGCACAAUUUUUGGGGUUGUGAGUCAAAACUAGUUGUUUCAGAUUUCAUUUUCAGACUCAAGAAGUAAUAAAACACUAUUUGGAUACCAAUCCAACAUGAACUUUGGAUAUCAUUUUGAGCAAAUUGUACAACAUUACUCACACAGAUCAAUAUCAUUUUUCAUGAAGUUCUUAGGCAACUACAAUCUUUUAAAAGAAAUAGCUGAAAAUAGCAAAAACACUAACACGGAAAAUCAAAUCGGAUAAUACCAACACUGAAAAUCAAAUCGACUCCAUUUGGAUCAAACCAACAGGCGCCUCUCGAGUUUCAAAUUAAAAAAUGAAUAUGCAACAGAUUAAAUUUGAACAAACUCUUCUGAUUUUCUAAUACAGAUAUUGUAAUUUAGAGGUUCUUCACAUUUUUCCUAGUAUGAUCUAUCCAUAAAUUUCUCAGUCAAAGAUCCAUCUAUAAGAUUUCAAGCUGAGUUUCAACUUUCCCCUGCUAUUCUUUCCCUACUGUUUGCUUCAUCUGCGCUCGCGACUCUCGAAAUCCAUUACGGCUAUACAACUUUAGCGUUGCAAAGUUUGCAUGCAAGGGCCUUCAGAUUUGUAUAGUAUCACAUCGUGCGCAUCCUGCAUGGAAUUUUGAAAAUCAGUGCUCCAAAAUUUGCAAAAUGCAUCGACUUACGACAGAAGAAAAUUUCUGACAGAAGCAGUUUUAAUCCUGGCAAAUAAACAAAUCUGGCAAGUGCUCUCAAAGAAACAAAUAUUUGAUGAGUACAAGCAGUGGUUUAAGGUGUCGAUGACAAAAUACAGUACCCGGAACAUCAUCAAGAAGAGAUAUGCUGCAACGGGCUCGUUUCUCUGAUUGAGAAGAUUCUAAUAGCUAAAAUAAGAAGUGUUAGUGGUGGUAUUUUUGCCCUUUAACAAUAGUCCACGCCCUGUAGAAACAUGCAGUAAAUGUUUGUAUUAAUCGAUUCUCAAUACAAUAUAAAUGGGAGCCGAAAUGUAUUUUAGUAAGGCGAGAUCACAUAAUUUGUAAGCAAAAAUAAGUUCAAUAAAGGAAAGCCCUUUACCUGUAAAGUUGCUCCACCAGGACUACUAACGCAACUUGGUGAUUCAAAACCAGUGAGGACAAUCUAAUUGCCGCGUCAGCACGCUCGCGCACUAGCGGCCCAUGACCGUAUGGGCCACCGAUACAAAAUGUGAGGCAUGACGAUCCCUAAAAGAUGAUGCUUCCUCAGUAUAAUUUGCACAGAAACGACAACAAAAGAAAAGCAAUAGCUAAUUCGGUAUUAGUCAUGCAUCUUUUCAGCGCUUUAUAAGUCACUAAACUAGCUUACCUUCUAAUAUGACAAAUAAGUAUCGAAAUCAUGUCGAGACAAAGCUUUAAGGAGAACAUGAAAGUCGCGAGGACUAAUGUUUUCAAAAAUAAUCAAAUCUUAUAAGCACUGAAUGAAUGGCAGGUCCAGCACAUACCGUUUUUCCCGCAUCUCCUAACAAAUCAGCCAUUUGCUCAGAAUUAAUCUCUCUUCCAUUCUCAUGUAACAUGACGACCUAAAAGCCAGAACAAAAAGGAAAGGAGGUAAUAAGCAGCCGAAAUCACGGAAUUAGCGAGCAAUGUGUUUAGCACAACAAAAAUUUGGAAGCUGAGAAACUCAACAUAUAUUUUGAAUUAUUGUAAUCGCAUACUUUGCAACAUUUACAGUAACAUUUUAGUUGAUAUCUGGUUUACAAAAUUUACGAUGAAAUGAAGAAAGAAUGUGAAUAUACUGAUUACUACAUGUAGCUUUUCGUUGAUUGGCGUAAACAUCUGCGCAAACUAAAGACGAGAAAAGUGGAAAAAGGAGAAAAGGAGGCGAUGCACCCGUCGAAAUGACAAGUUUCCGUAAUACCAUACCCAAUCUUCAGGUUUGAUGUGUUGCAUCAUAGCCGCGUCCUCUGCUUCAAUCUGGGCCUUCAUGUCGCUGCUCAACAUAUGAAAGCAUCAACUAGGAAUUUCGAGCAGAGAUCGAAUUUCUACAAGAAAAGGCUAUUUACAUGUUGGUUGAUGCAACCGAUAGAAUACUCGGGCAACAAAUACGUCGAAGAAAAAAGAAAAGGAGCAAACAAAAAUCGAUUACAGGGACACAGUAUCAACUAAUUACUAGAACCAAGGUUUCUACGCAUUCGAUCUUGAUGUGUUUCGUAAGAAUAAUCACAAAAAUAUUCUCACAUCAUCAAAAUUUAGACUAAAAUUUAGGAUAAAAUUCAAUUCACCGUACAAUAAUUUAGCGCAUUUUCGCUUUAUUAUUCUGCAGUUCAAAGGUUGCAUUUAACUACCCUGCGAUUUACCGCAUUUUCACUUUGUAGUUCAAAAAAUAUCUCGUAAUUUUAUUUUUAUUUCACCGUAAAGACCUAUCAUAAAAUAGGAUACAACCCUAUGGUUUUCAAAAAAUAUUUUACUUCGAACCGCAUAGUCGUAAAGUGAAAAAGCACAAAACCAUAGGGUUGUUUACCCAAAAUUUGAUCCAUCUCAACAUUCACAUCUCAGCUAUAAAUAAACAUUGUAAAACUAAACACUAAGCAAUUUAAAUAAGAAGAGAAUAAAAUUGUCCAAAUUUGGUAAUUUAGAUUACAAAAUAAUAAUAUGUAUUUACCUUGUGGUUUUUGGAUUAGAUUUAAUAAGAACAUCCUCAACGCCACAGUAGUACUUGAGCUUCUCCUUGUACUCUUCAACAAUAAGUUGGAUCCCUUGAGACCUCUUCUUUCCAACGGUUAAUAUACGUAUAGGUAUUGCUCUCUAUAAAAAAUGGGUAUAUAAUUAAUUACACCAUUUUUACAUAGUAAAGUAGCUCCUUCGAUGUAUUAUUACUUAAUUAUGUUACAUAAAAUAACAGAUUAUUACUUUUCUAACCCAGCGUUUUCCCAAAUUCGUGCUUAAUAAAUUCCCCAAGCCGUAUAUAUAAUAGAGAGCAUUUAUUUUUGGUCCUCGAAAUUGGACCCAAAUUUACUUGAAACCCUUAAUAGAGAGAUUGAGGAGUUUAAUUACUGUAAUAAUUAUGCCGUGUAGAGAUUAGAAAGAAAAGAGGAAAUUUUGGGGGUCUUACGAUGGAUUGUCCCGAGUAUUUGGAUCUCCUCCUACUAGCUGAAAAAUAAAAAAUAAAAAAUAAAAAACAUUUUGGAAAAAAUGGGGCUAGGGAUUCAAUGCGAAGAAGAAAUAUAUAUAGAGAGGGGAAAUACGGUGCAGAUUGAUUACCUGGGGAUGGAUUUGCUUUGAGAUUCGUGCUGUUCUUCGGAGGAGAGAGAUGGGUGUUGCUGUAGUAGCGACAGUAGAGCUCCAUGAGAGAGAGAGAGAGAGAGAGAGAGAGAGAGAGAGUGCGAGGGUUUUGAUUUUUUUUUUUUUAAUUAAUGAACGGGUGAAGUAGGAGCAGGUUGGGAUAUGAAUGGACGCGGACACCCAAAAUUUUAUCCAAACUUAAAUUUCAGAUGAGCAAAUUUACCUGAUUCUAAAUAAAUAUAAUGUGAAACACAGAUAAAAAAAAUUAAAGUUUGAUAAAUUUAAAUUUAGAUAUGAAUUUUGUCUAUAACAGAUCCGAACCUGGACCGAACAUAAAUUAAUUUUACAUUAUAUAAUACAUAAAUAUUUGAUGUUAUAUUUAAAUUUUUUUAAAAAAUUUAAACUUUAAUAUAAUAUUUUGAAAUAUGAUAAAGAGAGAUAAGUCUUUGAAACACUCAAUAAGUUAUAUAUGCCCCAGAAAAUAAUUAGAAAAUACUAGUAAUGUACCCGCGCUUUGCUGCGGGUAAGAUGAAUAUAUUUUUAAUUAUAUUUUUAAAAUAUAGGAUAUAUAUAUAUAUAUAUAUAUAUAUAUAUAUAUAUAUAUAUAUAUAUAUAUAGAAUUAGACUGGAAUACUAUUAAAAUAUCUUUAUAUUAACAAAUAUAAAAUUUAAAUAUAUAUAUAUAUAUAUAUAUAUUAAAAUAAAGUAAUAUUUUUUAAAAAUUACAGUGCACUGGGAUGGCCUACGGUGCACCGGGUGUAUCGAGUCAUUGAGUCGGACACGUGUCAAGUAAAGAACAAUGCUCCACGGACUUUAGUAUAUAGUAAUAGAUAGAUAGAUGGCAUAGCUAGGAAUGGCAGUUAGAGGAAGGUGAAUUAAAACAGUCCCGCACUCCUAAAUUUUAACUUCAUGGCUCUUGGCUCUUCUUAAUCUAAUGUUACCACAGCAGCGCUAAUAUACAAUUUUUUUUUCCGAUAGUUUUUAGUGCAAAUGGCAAAAAAUUUAAUAAUUGAUACGUGAAAUUUCAAAUUUAAAGCCUGAUUAUUUUAUAUUUUUCGGCAAAAUUUAUUUCUUAAAAAAAUAAACGAAGCGUAUAGUAUAUUACCUUUCUCAAAAAAAAAAAAAAAUUCUAAAAAAACAAAAAGUGUUUUACAAGGAGGAUAAUUUUUUUCAGGUGGUUGCAACUCUCUUUUUAUUCUUCUCCUAAUACAAGGAGGAUAAUUUUCUCAGGUGCAGUGACCACUCACCACAAGAUGUGCCUAUGGCAAUGGAUCCAAUUUGACUGACUUGCAGCUUGACUAUUUAGAUCUCAACCUUGCAGCAAGUUUCUGAUAAAGCUGUAUUAUUGUCUGUCUUACAGAAAUUGUCAGUUAGCUAGCAUUAGCUCUUUUGACUGUGUUAGAUAUGUCUCGAAUUCUAGAAUCAUAAGAUUUUCUAACUCUAUUCUGUUUUGAUUAUCCCAUUAAGUUAAAUUUAUAUUAUGCAUAAUCUAAUUAAGGUAUUCAUAUUCCUAAGGUAUUCAUAUUCUUAAUGAAUUUGUAUUUCUAAUCGUAUUAGAAUUUAAUUAGUCGCUAUUAUAAAUAUACCAUUUAUGAUUUGGUGCAGUAGAUUAGGCAGAUGAGAAAGAGUAUGGGUGUAUUUUUGGAAUUAGAGUUUUCUGAAAGAGUCAUAUUUUGUACACCAUCCUGAUUAUAAUGAAGAUUUCCGCUUCGCUCUAUCUUCACUCGUUGACGUAUGUUUGUGGCCGAGCCAUGUAAAUAUUGCGUGGUUUAUCUUUUUUUUCUCUCGUUCUCGAUUCUUUUUUGGUACUUUCGCACUCGACGAACUAGAUUUUUUUUGUUUCAAUUCUAACAUAACGUCACAAGCUCCAUCCACUUUGUAAUCUAACUAAAUCUCGAAUUAAAGCCGUCCAGAUCAGCACAGUCGCUAUAGUCGUGAAUAGUUAAAUAUGUUGGAUUGUUGACGCUAAUCAGUAAUUCCAAAAACUCGAACUAUUAGAAAUAUGCAAUAAACUCACUUAAAUCGUACAGACACAACACCCACGAGUCUCAAUAAUUAUUAUUUAUUCUAUAAGAAUCGAAUUUUAAUUUUCACUCCACUCUAGAAUAAAAAUGAUCCAAUCUAUUUAUGACUCAAUCUAGCUGCUUUGAGUUACGAAUUAAUUAAUCUAUUUCAAAAUAAACCUCUCAAAGCUUCAUUUCACAGACACCUUUUUCUCCCGUCCCUUCGUCACUCUCCUCUCUUUCAAAAUACUAAAUGUUCAUUUCCAUUUUGCAUUUCAGUAAUAAUCCAAAUAUUUUUAAACUAUUCGUCAUUCUAUAUUUUAUUCCAAUAUAAUAUUAUUUUAUUUUUUAUUUUUUAUUUUAAUUAUGAACCAAACACGUCCUUAUCAUAAGUAUCUUUCUGAGUAGCGCUUGGCCACAAAGAGCCCUCUACUUUAUAAACUAAGCUCCGUGUCAAAUUAAGGCGUUGAUGGGAACCUUUGACCGACACUUGGUUAAAUAGAUUCAUCACCAAUUGGAAUCCAUCCAUUUAGGCGGUAUACAAAACCAAGUUGAAUUCGAUAAAUCGAAUCGAACUUUUCUCCACAUAGAUUGCGGUGCAUCCAUAAUAUCCUACAACUAAAAAAAUAAAUGUAAAUUUUACGCCCUUUUAUUUAUUUAAAUUUAUUUUUUAUAUUAGUUCUAUUAUAUAUAUUUUUUAACUAAAAAUUUAUUUAAAUAUAAUAUCCAAAUUCUAGAAUGAGAGUAUUUAAAUAUUCACUUUUUUUUUAAGAUAUAUACAGAUAUCACUCCACUAAUCAAGAUUAAAAUAUGAUGGGACAGCCAAAGUAGGACAAACUACUUAUAAAUUUUCAAUUGGAUACGCGAGCAUACAUUUACGUGUUUGGUCUUAAUAGUAGGAUUUUUUUGCAUAUAACUUUCUCAAAAAAAAUUUAUAAAUAAUUGUAAUAAAUUUAUAUUUACAUAAACAUUUCUUUUCCUAUCACUUGAAUGCGCAGAUGACGUUUUUAAAUUGAAUACGGUGAUUCAAUUAAAAUAUUAGAGCACAGUGAUUGAAUCACCUAUAUUUUUUUUGUAUUUUUAUCACUCCUAAGUUAAAAAAAUAUUAGAGUGUGAAUAUGAAUGUGGUGAUUCAUUUAUCGUGUUUAAAUAUGGCAAUCUCGUAAUCGUGUUCAACUUAAAAAAUAUCGAAGCUUUCAUAAUAAAAAGAGAAUUAUGUAUGUAAAUAUAAAUUUACUAAAUAUAUUUAUAAAAAAAAAAUUGAAGUAGAUAAAUACACUCAAUAGUUAGCAUUGAACAUUUCAAAACACAAAAUUUAACCUUGCUGAAUUUAUUCAAAAAAUAAUAAAUAUAUAGGUAACCCGUCACCUUUCUCUCUAAAAAAAAUACUUUUUAAAGCAAAGUACAUAUCAUGCGCAAAACAAGCUGAACCCGAUGUGCUCCCGUAUAACGUCCCAAUAAUUUCAUAUUAAAUAAAAAAAAUUAAUUUAAAAUAUCUAUUUUAUAAUAAUAAUUUAAUUUAAAUAUUUUAAGUUAGUAAUUUGAACCAAUAAAUUAUUUUUACUAGCUAUUUUAAUAAUCUUAUAUCAAAUGAAAAAAUAUAUAUAUAUAUAAUCAAUCACUCACCCAUUUCCUCCACAUCUCCUCUCUCUCUCUCUCUCUCUCUCUCUCUGAGCUAGAAGCGAAAAUAAAAUAAAAUAAAAUAAAAAAAUGGCGAAGUACUUCACGCUAAACACCGGGGCGAAGAUCCCUUCCAUCGGCCUGGGCACCUACAGCGCCGCCCCCAACGUCGUCGGAGACGCCGUUAUCACCGCCGUUAAGGUUCUUCCUAAUUUAAAUUUUUUAAAAAAUUGUAUUAAACUCGUCCUUUUUUAUCUCUCAUAUCUCUAUGAAUUCUCGAUUCGAUUCUCCGAGGCUUCGAUUGAUUUUAUACCUUUCGCCUGAUUCGUUUGCAUGUGUGCUUUAAUUUGGAAGAAAUUAAUCUAAAUCCACAGAUCAAUAUGUAGUGUUGGAAAAAUCUCGCUAUUCUUAUAGUAAAAAUAAAUCUUGUAAAUAUUUUGAUUUGAAACCUCUAAAUAACUCUUUUAUAUAUAACAACGAAUACAAAACUCAACAAUAAUAUAUAUAUAUAUAUAUAUAGAGUCCGGCUAUGGUACUUGUAGAAGUACCAAGCACUUGGUGCUUGUAAAUAUUUUAUCCUUAGAUCUAUGUUUUUGAUCAUUUUUAUCCAUUAAAUUGUACUAUUCAACCAACCACCCACUCAACCCUAGGGAGCCCACAUUAUCCUAACCGCACAUCCUUUAAUCCAAGGGCUGAAAACUUACAAGCACUAAUGACUUGGUACUUUUAAAAGUAUAGGAGCUCAAUUCUAUAUAUAUAUAUAUAUAUCUAUAUAUAUAUAUAUAGAGUGAGGUUACUAUGCUAUCGGAAGCACGGAGCCUUUCGUGCUUCCAGCUCGUUUUCGAUGUUGCGACUUUCGAAUCGUCGAUCGGUUCCGUUAAACUUGAUCUAGAGUAUUUGAAGUAUCUAGAAAAUAAAUUUUAUGAUUUUACGAUAUCAUUUGCCUAGUGAACGAAGGGGUUCAAAAUCAACGGCUGAAAAUAAAAAUCUUAUAAAAUGUAAUAAUAUGACAUUAAAAUUUUAAAUCAAAGAUAUUGAUCUUGUUUUAUAUAGUAUAAAGAAUUUUCUAUCAAAAUUUCACGUGAUUUGGAUAUUUCUACACCGUUAAACUUGCAAACGGCUUACUACGGCCAUUGAAAUUUGUUGAUUUUGAGCCCAUUUGAUCACUAGGCAAAUGAUAUCGAAAAAUAAUAAAAUUUAUUUUCUAGGUACUCCAAAUACUCUAGAUCAAGUUUAACGGAGCCGAUCGACGAUUCGAAAGUCGCAACAUCGAAAACGAGCUGGAAGCACGGAAGGCUCCGUGCUUCCGAUAGCAUAGUAGCCUCACUCUAUAUAUAUAUAUAUAUAUGUGUGAAGAUAAAAAGUUUAGAUAUAGUAUGUGGGUCGAGAUGUGCUAUAUAUUAUCCUAAAAAUAAGAUUGCCUCUUCACGUGUGAGACUCCAGUAAUUAUUUCUAACAAUACAAUGACGACGAGUUAUCCGUCGGCCCGUCUCCAAGGUAGUGGAGAAGCUCAAGUGAAGGUGAAUCGAACCGGGUAGCUAAGACUGCACGCCGCUGCUGCUGCCCCAUGCCCGCCCGACCAUGCCUGGCUUGUGCCGUGCGUACGUGCAUGUGUUUAAUAGAUGGCACCACUCUGAUCAUUAUCACCCAACCAACUAGUUUGAAUGUAAUGGAGUAUACAAGGCGCUACUACUAAUGUCUUGAAUUUUUCAUUAUUUGGAACUAAAUUCAUAUAUAAUAAAUUAUGCACGGACUCUCAGGUACAGCUUUGUUUAAUUUGGUCUACCCAUGAGACCCAUAGGCUAAAAUAAAGUUUUAACUCACACUUUUAAAAUAAAUACCAACAAAAAUAGAAACACGCACUAGCGGUGGACAUUAUUUGUUUCAAUUCUCUUUUUCCCUUUUUUUUAAAGCGAAUAUUCGAGAUUCUACUUUUGUCUCCAUUCUUUUGAUUAUAUUAUUUGGAGCUGUUAAAAUAUUGAUUCUGCGAUCUAUUGCAAAUGUCAAAUAAAUAUGAAUGCCCAUCUCAGCGCCUUAGGUUUAUUUUUCAAUUCAUGAGCUGUAGGAAAUAGGAUUGAGAUUUGGAGCCUAAAAGCAGAAGCUACAAUUUACAUGUUGAGAUUCUCCCUAGAGAGAGAAGUUGUUGCGGGGAUCUUAAUAAAAUGCUUUUUCAAAUAGCAGUACGUAAGAGCACGUUAUUAAACAGUAUUAUACAAAAGUACUUACUUGGACCGGUCCACCCGACUAACUUUGUACUUUUGCACCGACCGUCCCUAGAGCAAGUGGCAAAGAACUUGGUGGUUGUUAUCCGAGACCCAAGUUCGAAUCUUAGUUGAUUCAGAUUUUUAACUAAGUUUAUUUCUAAAUGAAAUAAACGAAGCGGGUAGCGUGCUACCUAUCUCUCAAAAAAAAAAAAAAAAAGUUUGUACGUUUGCUUUCACACCUGCAGUCACUUUUAGCACAACAUUCCCAGAGUCUCUAUUAAGAAAUAGAAAUAAAAUUUUAGGCCUCAAUAUAGUAGCUUGAAACUUUUGAUUCAGCUCUAGAGAGAAACUGUUGGGAUCUUCAUCCUUGCGAUGUAGCUUUUAGGUUUUCCUCUCUUCUUAUCACAUAAUAAGAAUGCAAUGUAUCAAUGCUAUUGUCUCACAAUGAAAUCUUGUUAUUUGGAUUUUCUUUGUGGUGCCGAAAUUCUUAUUUAUCUCUGUAUAAAUGCAGGCUGGUUACCGACAUAUAGAUUGUGCCCGACUAUACAAGAAUGAGAAAGAGGUAAUUGUGGUUAUCGCGCUUUCAUUGAUACUGAUGCUUUUUUCCUUUGGAUUGUAACACCAUUUAUUGCAAUAGAAUUGCCGAUAUACUAUUGUAUAUUUGUUAUGUUAGGUAUGAUUAUGGAAUUUGGAAAUUUUCAAGAACCAGGAUUCAGGAAUUUAAAGAAAAAUCUGCACGAUCUUUGUUACUUUCAGCAUAUUUGUUGUCUAAAACAGGUCUAAGUUUAUCUCUGCCACUUCUGAUCUUAAAGCUGCAGCUUUUGCUUCCGCAAAGAAGUUAAGAGAAUUCGCGUUUAAAACAAUCGGAGAGAUCAGAUAGCCAACAAUAAACAUGUUUAUGCAGUGGGAUUCAUUUCAAGUAUCAGCUUGUUUUCUUAAGUGUACCUAGCCUUUUAUUUUAGUUCCAGUUCUUAAAUCUUACUAUAAACUAGUUUCACUAACCGCGGUACAACUAAAAUCUCCACUGCUGUAAUGAACUUUCCGUAUUCAUAGAUUGGCGACGCUCUAAAGAGCCUGUUUGAUGAUGGUGUAAUCAAGCGUGAAGAUCUGUUUAUCACCUCGAAACUUUGGUAGGUUUCUUUUCUUGGUUUAACAGACUAAAUAGUGUAGCACUUUCAUUCAUGUUUAAGAAAAACUAACUUUUCAGUUUUGCCGCUCUUUUUACUAAACAUUUUCUUAAAAGAAUGAACAUCUUAUUUUGCAGGUGCAGCGAUCUUGCCCCAGAAGAUGUACCGGAUGCAUUGGAUGCAACUUUAGCGGAUUUACAGCUCGACUAUAUAGAUCUUUAUCUUGUAAGUUUGUAUCCAUGGUUACAGCUCUGCUGAGUGCUAUUUCUUUGAGUCUGGUUGCGUAUCUGUUUGCGUUAAAUGAACCGGUUGCGUAUUUCUAUCAGCUCGAGUUUUUGGAAUUAAUGGUUAGCACCAACGAUCCAACAAUGUGAAGGAAUAACCAUGAUAGUUGUUUUAUCUUUUAUUACCAUGGGAGUUGUGAAUGCUAUUUUAGAAUCAAUGACUCUGCAAUAGUCGUAGCAACUUGGUAGCUUCAUUCUAACAUGUCAUUCCUAAUGUAAUGUGUGAGGAUUGUUAAUAUUAAGCUUUUCAGAAUAAUGGAAUUUAGAACUAGUACUUUCUUAAGGAGGCUUACACUGGAAAAAGAUGCAUAUAUGAUCUAAAAUUCUACUCCACUCUAAUCAGCAUUCAGCACUUGAAAAACAUUCUCCUCUCGAGAUGUACGCAUCAACAUUUUCUCUACUAUUUUAGAGAGAUCGCUGCGCUUUCCUCGCAGUUUCGUUCUUACUAAUCAUUCUGUUAUGUGUCAAAGAUUCACUGGCCUUUUCGGAUGAAGAAGGGAACUAGUGAUUUUAUCCCCGAAAACUUUCUCGAGCUCGAUAUGCGCGCCACGUGGACGGCAAUGGAAGAACUAUACGAUUCCGGUAAAGCUCAUGCGAUCGGAGUGAGUAAUUUUUCUUCCAAGAAAUUGGGGGAUUUGCUUUCCACAGCACGCGUGCCUCCCGCCGUGAAUCAAGUGGAGUGCCACCCUUACUGGCAACAAGCUAAGCUCAGAUCAUUUUGCCAAUCGCAGGGUGUUCAUAUCUCUGUGAGUGUUUUCAUAUACUCAUUUGGCUUAUUCCAGUGAUCUUUUUUUUGGUUAUUAUUUAAAAAUUGGUGGAUAUCCACUUUAGCCACAGAUUUUGUAGUAUCAAGUAACCGACCACUAUAAGACUUCGCGAUUCAUAAGUUUUGAGUGGUGAACUUAUAGACUUGAGUGAUAGAUGCAUUGUUCAAAGGUACUCUACUUUAGUUCCUAACAGUGCGCCGAUCAUUCAAAAAUUGUGCUUGGUAGUCCUAUAGUGGAAGGGCAAUUUAUGGUUCAAAAUUAGCAUAUUUUCUCUUUUGUUCUUGAUUGUCAAUUUAUUUUCCGACGGUCGUUCCUACAGGCAUAUAGACCAUUAGGUCAACCAGGGUCGACGCAGAAAACCAAAAUCUUAACAAACCCCAUCCUACAAACAGCAGCAGAGAGUCUGGGCAAAACUCCCGCGCAAAUAGCUCUUCGCUGGGGCCUUCAGAUGGGUCAAAGUGUGCUUCCCAAGAGCACAAACGAGUCGAGGAUGAAGGAGAAUUUGGAUCUGUUUGAUUGGUCGAUUCCUGAAGACUUGCUUGCCGAGAUCAGUGAAAUCGAACAGGCAAGUCGCAGCAUUGUUUUUGCGCAACAAUCUGAAUGAUCUGAACAUUUAUGUUUUAAGCUAGGAUGAGUGAUUUUAAGUUUUCAAGUAACGAAAAUAGAUAACUGCAGCUGUGCAUUUCUAUACUUGUUCAUUUUUUAGAAUGAACAGAGAAAAAUGCAGUAGUGGAGACCUUUUAUCACGAGUUUUGAAAAUUUAUCGUGAUAUCGGAAUAGAGUGGAAGUAAAGUCCUAUGUUUUAUGGUUAUUUUCAAUUACAUUUUAGCGGUAUAUUUGUUACUAUACCAUGUAGUAUUGUUGGUUUCUCAUCCACUUGCCAAAGUACCCCUUUUUUUUGCUUCCCACUAUGCACUACGAUUUAAACAGAUAGAAAAUAGGAGUCAGGAGUAUUAUGACAUUUGCAUUAUCAAAUAUUAGUAUAUUAUGUGUCAUGAAAACAAACUUUUUAAUUACAGCAAAUUUCGGUUUUGGAUGGUUUGUAUAAGUUCAUUUGACUGUGAUCUGCAGGUUAAGCUAGUUCGGGGAGAUUGGUUUAUCCACCCUCAGAGCAUUUACAAAAGUGUCGAGGAGCUCUGGGAUGGCGAAAUCUAAGCACUUAGAUGAAUUGUUUUUAGUUAAAGUAAAAUAUUAAUGUGUGUUGCGUUUUUCAUAAAGGAGUACCACUUCUCCCUUUUCGGACGAUUGUUGUUUCUCACAGUUACCAUGUACACUUCCUUGUUGGUUUUAAUUGAAUUUAUAUGCAAUAUGUAUCAACUUUCUCAUAUAUUUCAUGUGUUUAAGUGAGUUGCAUGAUCCAGACACGUUUUUUAUGAUGAUCAAGUGUUGUAUAUGAGAUCUUAAAUUUUCGUCUACUUUUACAAGUUGCUUUAAAGUUCUCAGAACAUGCAUAUCUUGUUUCCCUCAGAACAUAACACUGUUUUGACUUCUCAGAACUGACCUACUCUCUCGGGAAUGGCCGUGUAGUAAGGUUUUGGAGUGAUAUCUGGUUAGACCAACCCCCCCUGAGCACUCUCUUCCCAUGAGUAUACGACAAGGUGGUAAACAAGAAUCUCCGGGUUUCUGACUGCUGGGGUAGGAAUGGAUGGAGGUGGCGUAAAAUUUUGGCAGGGUUUAAUCCUACCUCUCUUGUCGAAUUGGAUUCGAUUAGAAUCCUUAAAGAGCUGCUCUCGGAGACGUCGAUCUACAAUGGACCGGACAAGGCCGUUUGGAGAUGGACACGGUCUGAUAAAUUUACGGUCAAAUCUCUUUAUAUCUUCCUGCAAGACGGGGGGCCCACAAUAGCUUUUUCGUCCAACUGUGGAAGAUUAAAGUACCCUUGAAAGUUAAGAUUUUUGUGUGGCUUGUGCUACUCAAAAAGAUAUUCACAGUGGACAACCUACGUAAGAGGGGCUGGGGUGGUUACGAAAGGUGUGUUUUCUGCCUCGAGGCUAGUGAGACGGUGGACCACCUUUUCUCGGAGUGCUAUAGUACUAAGACGCUGUUAAGUAGGUUUCUACCAAACAAGCAGUUCAUCUCUAACUGUACGUCAGUUAAUCUACUCUGGGAGGAUAGUAGGCGUAAAGAAGGUACCUUAGGAUUUAGGGAACUUGCUUCUAUCGCCGCGACGUGGUGGACGGUCUGGUUGGAACGAAACAAAAGAAUUUUUGAGAAUUCUAGACGCCCUAUUUCCCACCUAGCGUUUGAAUCCCGCUCACUCAGAGAUAUGUGGGCUCUUGUUCUCUAGUUUUUUUUUUUUUUUUUUUUUUUUUUUUUUUUUUUUUUUUUUUUUUUUUUUUUUUUUUUCAAGGCCCAUUUGCCUCAGUUUGCAGCUCAAUUCACUUUCUGAUUGAAUGAAGUGGUAGCAUGCUACCUUUUCUCAAAAAAAAGAACUAAAAAACUAAUUCAAUAAAGAACAUGAUAAUGUAGGAGGAUCAAAUCAUGAAAUAAAUAGACAUAUAAUAAAAUCUCUUCCUUUUUAUUGUCAAAGCAAGUCCUUAUAAAAACUGGAGAGAUGAAAUGAAUGGCACAAUAAUACAUAUAAAGGCCCAUUUCAUUAGCCCAAGUAAUCCUCUUACUACCUUAAAACAAACUUUACAAAAAAGCAUCAACUUAAGCCCACAAAAGCCCAUGGAUAUUAGGCCGAGUUUACUUUGGGCUGGGCCCAUAUUUUAGAAAAUCCCCCGGGCGCGUACCACGUACUACUAGACCUUUUUUUUAAAUUUUUUUUUUCCAUAUUGUUUUAGUAAUAUAUUGCUUUAAAAAGGAUCCUUACGUGGAGAAUUGAAAAUGAGCUACAUAACAACAAAAAUAAAUUAUACGCCGUAUUUUUUAUACGAAUUUUCCGUCGAAAUCAAAGAGGAUUCGGAUUUUGAGUUUUUGGCCUGAUGCAAUUUUGGAUAUGAAUUUUCAAAAUCCGCCAAAUUCGGGAUCAGGUUCUAAGUUCGGAUUUCAGAUUCGAAUUUUCAAGUCAGUCCCGAAUCCGACCCGUCGAAAUCUCUAGUAGCAAGGAUUCUGACAGGGCGGGUCCGUGGGCACAAAGACGUGUCUUUUUUUUUUUUCGACAAAUAGGAACUAAUUUGAGGCGGAUUGAUUUUUAUUUUAUUUUUUAUUUUCACUUAUUACUCCAAACUAAUUGGAGUAAAUUUUUUUUGACAGAUCAGGAAGGGCCAAGAAAAAAAAGAUGUCCGCACCCCUCGCUCCAUCUUUUUAGCGAAUUGGAACAGAUUUGAAAAAAAAAUUUCUAAAUUUUGACCCCCACUUACUGCCCCAUUCGACACGGAUCUGGCAAAGUAAAUCCAAGAAUACAACUCAGGAUAAUAUAAUAUGGUAUAAUAACCCACACUAUCAUUGAAAGGCUAACUCAAAAUAUUGUGAUAUACCCAACUGCAAAAGAGGUGAAUCUAUAGAUUCUAUACAGAUGACAAGAAACAGAACAAAAAAGAAAAAAUAAAAAUGUAACUGUUCAUCAUUUCACAAUGUUAAGAAAGGAAAAUUGGAUUAGAUUAUAUUAGGUUAAUAGACUAACAAAAAUUGCUGUUCACUAGAGCAGCACUAGAACACUAAAAAGAACCAAGAAAAAAAAAAAGAGAAAAAAAGAAAAAAAAAACUGGAUAAUACAGGAAUAAAUCAUGUUGAGAGGGCAUAUAGUGUGCCAUUAAAAUAGACAGACACCUCAGCCCUGAAUGAGGGCUCAGAAUUCUGAGCCUUCCAAAUUGCCGCAGCAACCCUUCUCCUGUUUCCAGAGCCAGAUUCCCCGGUUCACGCCUGAUGAUUUAUGAAAAUUAAAAAGAAAAAAAUAAUUACGAAGGGGAGGCACUCGACGAAAGAAUCGAGUGGACUAAUUCAAAUAGUUGUGUAGUUGGAGAAUAAGUUCAUCAGGUUGUCCAGAGCUUCAGGAUAGAAUUUCCGCGCAAAUAGAUAACAUGGUCUCUUCAUCCCAUUCCACAAGCAGGGUUUCCGCAUCACCACUUUCUGCAACAAAAACCAGAAAAAAAAAAAAAAAAGAGCCAGUUCUUCAAUAUAUAUUUAAAGUAUUUCAUGGUUACAACCAAAAAAAUUAUAAAUAUAAUGUAUGAUACCAACUGAACAUAGCAUAAAUGGUAACACAAAUAUCACUGCUGGUCUGUUUGAGGAAAAUUCUCAGAAGCAGCAGCAAAUUUGAUAAUUUUUGGACUAUGCUUAUGUAACGUAACGUCCUAUUACUAGGCUUUGUACUGAUAUGUGUGAAGAGGCAUUGAUGUUUUAUACCCAAUUAUCUUAUUAGAUUUGUAAACUAGUAGAUGGUUCGAUCACCGCAUCCAAUAAAAAGGGUAGAAGAAACUGUUCCACUUGAUAUAUCAUGGAAUGUGAACAUUAAGGAUCAGUUUGGAUGUUGAAACAAGUUAUCCUGUAAUAAUAACUUGUGCAAUGUGCGGAUAUAUUUGUGAUCGCACCACUUAAAAUAAACGAGGCCUUUAUGGCAAUGAGAAACAUAACCAUUACUUAAGUAAGAGCAUAGAGAUCAAUACGAGCAGAAAGGAAUUGCUAUGCAUACCUUUUCAUCGCUUGUAACAUGAAAACUCUCAUCAAUAGACUGCCGCAACACAAAAUCAGAAACUCCAAGUUAAAACCACAUAAAAUGGAGAAUACAACAAAUAUAGAGAGUAGCGGAGAGGUAAACAUACUGUUAUAUUCUUCAGGAGCUCAAAAGUGACAUCCUUAGCCCGAUAUGCCUUUGGAUGCCACUUUCCUUCUGACCAAUCAACAUGUGUCACUGACCAAUUGGCAAUUCCAGUUGGAUCAAUCAUCUGCACGUUUAAGUUCAUUAAAUUAGCAAGCGAAUUAAAGAAAGAAAUAGCAUAUAAAAGGGUCUGAAAGGUUUUAAUUUGCUUACAUAAAAUAGGGUUGGCAAAUAAUGCUCAUCAGCAUAGCAAUUGCGUCGUCCCUCCAUCCCUGGCUGUGAAUAAACAGAAGAAAAGCAAUAUCACCACAUGUUUUUGUAAUAGUAACCCCCAUUGACGAUUUCAAAACAGUUCAGCUUCUUCUAGCCAAAAAAUAGAGUUGUUCUACUUUUGUCUGGCAAAAACAACAUUACGGUCCAGCAAUCAUUCUUUUACAGUUAUACAACAUAUUUAAGCUUGUCGCUUUUACACUACCUUUGGUAUUUAAGUUAGGUUCUUUAAGAUUGUGCGAAGGAAUUGAAAGAUAUACAGCUGUACAAUUACCUUGCAAUAAAGCUUGAACUUUGUGUAGUAAAGACUGUCUGCCAGAAUCACCAAAGCAUGUUGCCGCUUGAUUGAGAACCACUGCAAUAUACAGACUCAAAAAUGUUUGAUACUAUCUUUUCUCAAAUUGCAAAAACAAGAGUCUGUCAAACAAUGGAGGCUCCUACUUAAGCAAAAUGACACUUAAUCUCUUUCGAAAAGUAAAGCCUCGAACAUUUAGUAUGGACUAAUUGUUGACAUAACCAAAGUGCCUGUUUAUGGCCUCCUCGUAUGGCCUUGCUGUUACCAUAUUUACUAUGGCUUCAUUGUUAACAUGAACCGACAACAAAUUGAUGCAAGGUAUUGGAAAAGGCAAACCUUAUUCUGAUUGUUAACAUAAGCCAAAAACAUCACCAAUUAUAAUUAGUCACUAGCUUAUGAACAGAAGCUAACACUUUUUUGCCUUCCUCAUAAAAACACCGUCAGUCAUUUUAUGCAUUUUGUAAGAAAAAAGUUACCUGUGCUCCCUUUCUAAAGUCGUCCUCCUCAAUCUCAGGUAGCAUGUGCUUAGAAUACCUGCCAUUGCCAUGUGGGCCAGGAUCCUGAAAACUGACAAUGAAGGCAGAUAACAUUAACAAGAUGAAACAAGGAAAUUUUCUUAAACAAUCAGUGAAAUUUUCUUAUCAGAUAGACAGCAACAGGUAGCAAUCUGUUACACCAAGAAGAUUCUCCUGAGAGUGUCAUCAUGGCUUCACAUCGGUCUUUUUGGUUUGAUAAGUGAUGCCUAAGAUUGUACCUUAAAUGGAACUAAAAAUAGAUUCGGCAGUAUAGUGUCUUACCAGUCAAUAAAGCUGAUAUUGGUUCCCAUCAGAUAAUUAUAUACAUAAUCGAAAUUAUGAAGCGGAACACAGCUGCCAUACAAACACAUUGGUAUUUAGUACACUAAUGCAAAGAAUCAAAAGAAAUUUCAAAAUACAGCAGAGUUGCUCAGUACCUGUCAGAAAGCAACACAAAAUGCUGGUUAUCACUGUCCUGGAGCGCAUUCGCCAGGAGUCUCUUUUCUGCAUCAACCAUCGAUACCUUCCCCCAUACCACCUGUAUAAAUAAACUUUUGAGUUCCAAAUAUAGUUUCGAAGAAGUAACAAGUGGAUAAAACUAGUCAAGCAGUAUAAAAAUUAUUGAGAAUAACAGGUAGCAAAUUUGCUAGGGAACUAACUAUCACAGAUUGACUAGCACAUUUCAUGUCUAUCCAUACAUAAGAAUAGGUUAGUCUAUCUAGCAGUACCUCUUAUGCACAAAUAGAAACAAGGGAAACCUCUGGGCAUAUAGAAAAAUGUGAAAUUAGAUAAAAAUCAAUAAGGAUAAAAGAAAGGUCACUCCUAAAGGGCCUCUGAUGUUACGGUAGUUUUGACAGGGUUCAUUCCUGAAGCCCCUCCACAAUAAAUUGCUGUUCUUCAACAUAAUUUUUUUCAACUAUAAUCAUUUAUAGUACAGGCUUAGAUACCACGAUCAGUAUAUGGACUGACAUACAACAACAGUUAAAAGAACAUACAAAAUAGAUAUCAAGUCGAUCUAAAAAAAAAAAAAAAUUGCAGGGUCAAACAUCAUCACAUAAGUUGUUAUGCCCACUCAUCAUAUAACUAACUUUCCCUAUUAUAUAACACAAUUAAAAAAAAUACUUUGUGAAUAUUGAUAAUGACUUAAAUCAGUCCAAUUACUGGUUAUGAUAAGUAACACAUUUCCAUGUUCAUCUCCUUCAUAUAUUAUGUUGAUAAAAAAGUCGAUCCUUCAUUCACAUGCGCAGGAAAAAAAAAUAGUGAGAUAUCUAAGAGAGACAGUACCUUCUCACUGCGAAUUUCUCGAUCACUAAAUAGAGGACUAACAUGUACAGGCUUUUCCCUUGACGCAUGAAUAUAAAUGGAGUAUCUUCCCUGAUGUCCCUAUAAAUACAAGUAGUAAACAUGUCAACAUACAGAAGUUUUACCUCACAAGAAAAGGCUUUAGUAAAACAUUGGCAGUACCAAUUUACCCACCUUCCCACAAAAUAUAGCAGCGUUGUUGCCAAGAGUGAUCAAAUUUUUUGUUAAAGAAAUUUCCUUUUUAACAUUAUCUUUUUAUGAUUAUUUUUGUUUGUGAAAGGGUUAAUUUGUAAGCAUAAUAAAGGUCUACAAUAAAGUUUGAAUAAAUAAAUAAAGAUGACAUAUUUUCACUCUUAGCUCACUUUUACCAACAACUAAGCCAUUAUAUAUCCACUUUAUACCCCGUCUGAAACAUAAUAUCACUGUUGACCCACUUUGGUACUAUUCAAUGUUCACCAUCUUUUCCUUAAUGGAACAAGUUGUUUUAGUCCUCAACAACUGAAGAUACAUGGCCUUUUUUUUUUUUUGAGAUAAAGGUAGCAUGCUACUGCUUCAUUCAUAGGGUAGGUGAAUUUAGCAUCGAUGGGAAACAACUGGGCUUCGGAAAAAAAAAAAAAAAAACAAAAUCCACUUAGCUAAACGCAAUAAGAGUCCCACAUGUUGUACAGAUCUCGUAGGUCUGCCAUCACCUGUCUCGCAGUGCACUUAAGAUACGUGGCCUUUGGAAGCAAAGAUCAUGUACUUUCAACAAAACUCUAUUUCUUCUCCGAAUAUGGGUACACUGUUCGGAAAGAGACUCCUGAAAGUCUACAAGCUGUUGCAGGGUUCUAGGCAAUACUCAAAUGCCUUAAAAAAUUCUUUCUAUCAUCUAAGCCAACAUUCAUACAUUGACAAACAAGUAACAAGUUCAAAUUUGAACCUUACCUGAAAAAAUUUCGCCCACAAUCUCUCAAACGGCAAUGUACCAGGAGUCAAGAACAUGAAAGCAAUUUUAGGAUUCUUCGACUGAACUGUAGGCAUAGCAAUAAGGUCACUAAAGACGACACGAGAAGCAAUCUCGCCAUCUGUUAGUACCCGCAAACGCUUAGCAGGAAGCCAAUCCUUGAAAGGACUGCAAACACUUGAAGCGAAGAAGUAGCAAGCAGAGUAACGCCGAGGUGGGUACACAUAAGCCCCAAUCAAUGUUACGCAGACCAAAGAAAUUAAGACGAUUAUCCACGUGGGUCGUCUAGAAGCAGCCCUGUGGCGGGGAGCCGGCAUGAUCGUCAUGUCCCUAAUGGCGAGUUCCCAUGUUUACGGUAUUUUCAUCUCAUACUUUUCUUUGCAAAAACCUCACCACCAUCAGCCACCAUUACUCUCUCCUUACUAUCAGCUUUAACGAUCAUCCACGAUGAGGUUAGACAACAACGAACAUUGCAAAGAGUGAAAAAUGCUAUGCUCUGAGUGUGAUUUCGCUGCAACAGCAAAAAAAAAAGAUAUAAUCCACACAGUUACAUACCAAAAAAGCAAAAAUUUGUCUUUUUCUUAAGCUAUGAUGGAAAAAAAGCCAAACCGAGAGAAUAAACCACAAUAAUAAGUAAUACUACAUUGUACUUCAAAAAAACAUUAGUAUGAGAACAAGGCUAAGCCCGUAGACAAAUCAUUAUAUUGUUCCAUCUACAAGCAAAAAUAUUUCAUUUUGGAAUACAAUGGAUCAGCAUUUCCUUUCAAAUAACUAGCUAUCCCUAAUGGAUUUUCUUCUUCGAAAUCCACAAAAGCUAUAUAAGCUUUCUCCAAUUACCAACUCAACUCCAUUUGCGAGAUUUUUUAGCUACAGAACCUCAAAUUACACAUCAAACCCCAUAAGAAUAGAAGAUUUAAUCACCAACACAAACAGAACAACAAGCAUCAACGAUUCCUGCGCUUUCCAGAGAGGAAAAAUUAGGAGGAAGAAAAAAAUAAUCACCAAAAACUAUAUAAAUUGUACUCUAAACAGAUCAAAUACGCACUUAAUCGCAUCAAAACAGGAAUCAAAUGCGAACUAAAAGGAGAUCGAUCGAUUACCUGUACGAAGUGAGCCGUAGAGUAGCUCGAAGAUCGGGGAUCUGCGAUGAAGACGAAGAGAGAGAGAGAGAGAGAGAGAGAGAGAGAGAGAGAGAGAGGUGAGUGAGAUCCGUUAGGGUAGGAGGGAAAGGGGAGACGUUGAUAAAAUAUGUACAAAUGGAGGGGAUUUUUGUGUAAAAAAGGAGAGAGAGAGAGAGAGAGAGAGAGAAGGGGAAUUGGAAGAGGUUAUGCUGUAGAGAGAGAAUAUUAGGGAAAAAAAAAAGAGAAGGAAAUAGUAAAAUGUAUGGAUUGUCGCUGUACAGUAUUAGUGUUAUGGUUGAGUACCUGUACUGUACAUAUAUUUGUCUUUUAGUUGUUAUGUACGUCAAAAGAAGUGUAACUAGUUUAUUUAUUUAUUUAUAAAAUGGCUCACUUAUUAUCCCUUUUACAAUAAAAAUUAGAAAAACUUCAAAUACCGUAUCUAUAAUUUUGCACUUUUUUAUUUUAGUACUCUGUGAUUGGUAUCAAUUUAGUACCAUGUGAUUUUAUUUUUUUCGUUAAAUCAGUGACAAAGUUAAAACUAAAGGAUACUAAAAUGAAUAUUCGAUAAAUCUAGAUGGAUUAUCUAGAGUUUUUUGUAUAUAAUUUAACGAAAUAUUAACGGAGGAGCUGACGAAAAGAGAAAAAUAAAAUCACAUGGUACUAACUUAUAUAUUUUAAAUCAGAGGAUACUAAAAUGAGAAAGUUCAAAACCAUGGAGUUGAUAUUUGAAGUUUAUCCUAAAAAUUAUAAAUUUUUUAAGAUAGUCCGAAUUGGAGGCUAAACUGUGAUAUAUAUAUAUAUAUAUAUAUAUAUAUAUAUAUAUAUAUAUAUAUGGAGUAGGGCUAGAAUACUUUUACAAGUAUCACCCAAGUGAUACUUGUGUGUUUUUAGCCCUUGGAUGGAGAGAUGUGAGGUUGAGAUGAUGGUGGUAGGUGGUGGUAGGUGGAAUAGUGUUUGAUCCAAAGGCUAUUUGUAUUCAAAAAGUAGAUCCAAUGGCUAAAAACGUGAUAGCAACAUGGGGAUGAUACUUGUAAAAGUAUCCUAGAUCAACUCUAUAUGUAUAUAUAUAUAAAAUUGAGGGACUGCUUGGUGAAAAGUAUAGGAUUGAAUUGUAAUAUUGAUAUUGUACAGGGUAUGCGCACACUCUUUAGUUUUUAGAGGCGUAUUAAUGCUAGGUAUUUUUAGCGCGCUCCCUCCGUUUCUUUCAUCUCCCUCUACAAUGCUCGUAUAGGAAUUAUCGGGUGGACCGAGUGUGCCACAUCAUCAUAACUGCAGUGUUAAAGAGCGUGGUACCGGGAUAUAAUACUUGAGUCCUUCCGUUGCUGAAGCUCUUCAUUUACCCAGUCUAGGAAACACGGUGCACGGAAAAUUAUUUAUUUAUUGUAUAUUUCAUGCUGUUGGGAUCAGUAGUUGCAAAAACUAUUUUUUUAAAAAAAAAAAUACGAAAACAAAAUAUUCACCUGUGAAAAAUAGGGUGGAACUGAGCAGAACUGAAUUAUGACCAAUUUUAAUUCAGUUAAUUAGAUUUGAGAAUUUUAAUUUUACUAAAUUUUUCUAAUUUAUUUGAUUUAAAAGGUAAGCUAGUGAAAUUAUUUUUAAGAAAAGAUUAGAUAACUAAAUCAGAAAUAGGAUAUUAUUUAGAUAAAUUUUAUACAUUUUCACCUUCCCUAAAUGUAUUAUAACAUGUUGCCAUCAAAAUAACCUCCUUAUCUUAAGCUCAUUAUUUUUAUUUUAUAUCCAUUAAAUGCCUAAAAAUAUAAUGUUUGGCAUUAUCUUAAUAAUUUAGUCAUUAUAUUUAGCCAUAAUGGAUAGGAAGCAUAUUAUAAUANUAUAUAUAUAUAUAUAUAUAUAUAUAUGAGUAGGGUUAUUAUAUUUUUGGGAAAACUUCAAAACACCCCCCUGUGGUUUCUAACUUUCUCACUUUAGUACCCUGUGGUUUAAAGUGUAUCAAUUUACUCCCCUGUGAUUUUAUUUUUAUCUUUUCCAUAGCUUUUCUCUUAAUAUUUCGUUAAAUUAUAUACAAAAAAACAUCAAAUAUCCAUCUAGAUUUACCGAAUAUUUACUUUAGUACCCUUUAAUUUUAAUUUUGUCACUGAUUUAAGGAAAAAAAAUAAUAAAAUUGAUAAAAAAAGAGAAAAACGAAACUAUAGGGGGGCAAGUUGAUACACUCUAAACAACAGGAUACUAAAGUGAGAAAAUGCGAAACCACGGGGGGGUUUCUGAAGUUAUCCCUAUAUUUUUAUGAGUAUAGAGUAUAUGAGUAUAGAGUCCUUCGUACUCAUAAGUUGUUUUUUAUGAUCCACAUCGUUAAACAUGAUCUAGAAUAUUUGAAAUUUAUAGAAAAUAAAUUUCGUAACUUUUCGAAAUCAUAAUAAAGUCCAUCAAGCGGGUAUAAAAUGAAUGAUUAAAAUCGAAUGACGUUCUAAAAAUAGAUGAUCGGAUCCUUUAAUUUAAGACCGGAGUCAUUAAUCUUUAUUUAGAUGGUGAAUAAAAUUUUCUAUUAANAUAUAUAUAUAUAGAAUUAUGCUACUAUACUAUUAAUAGUACUAAGCCUUUGGUACUCUUGAGUUUUGGGCCGUUGGAUAAAAGGAUGCGCGGUUAGGAUGAUAGUGGUCUCCGGUUAAAUUGAUAGUGGUCCCCUAGGGUUGAGUGGAUGGUUGGUUUAAUAGUAUAAUCUAACGGGUGGAAAUGAUCAAAGGGUAGAUCUAACGGUAGAAAACUCAAUAGUAUCAAGGGCUUAGUACUAUCGAUAGUAUAGUAGCCGGACUCUAUAUAUAAUUUGAAUGCUCUAAAUAAUAUUUAGCCGUAUGGAUUAUCGAUUCGAAAGUUCUAUUAUCAAAAUCGACUUAUGAGUAUGAAGAGAAUCGUACUUAUAAAAGUAUAUGAACCGGACUCUAUUUUACAGCCACUGAUAG
rnacentral:lncRNA from 1 species